UUUUUUUUAGUGAAAUUUGAGGAGAGAAUAGUCAAAACUUCUACGUCAGGAGACCUCACCAGAGCGACGAAGGGACUGAGGAGUAAAAAGAAUCCUACUCUCCGAUAUAUAUAAUCCUAAGACUCAAAACAUUUUUUCUAGACUCAACAACGCCAGCGAUUCGAUCAAGCAGGGGGCUCCUAAGUCGGGGAUGGCUCUGAUUACCAACUUGUAAUGCCCACGAUGCGGCUAUAUCUCCCACGUGUCGAGGCACGACUUAGAGGCAUAACCGCAUAGUGGUUUUGUCGCAAGAAGGGUCAUCUUCACACAAUCCCAUGUAAUGAACAAGAAUGGGAUAAAGAGUUGGCUUACAAUCGCCACUUCACACAAUACAUAAAUAUCAUUCAUACAUUAACCAAAAUACAAUCAUAUAGACCGAGUACGGUCAAAAACCAGAUGAAAAUAAGACAACCCCAAAUGCUAGAUCCCCGAUCGUCCCAACUGGGCUCCACUACUGAUCAUCAGGAAAAGACACAUAGUAACGACCACGUUCCUCGUCGAACUCCCACUUGAGAUCGACGCCAUCAUCUGCACUGGCAUCGUCAGCACCUACAACUGUUUUGGAAGUAUCUGUGAGUCACGGGGACUCAGCAAUCUCACACCCGCGAGAUCAAGUCUAUUUAAGCUUAUAGGACAAAGAGGUGCAAAGAGGUGGAGCUGCAGCGGCAAAAGCAUAUAUGGUGGCUAACUUGCGCAAAUGAGAGCGAGAAGAGAAGCAACGGAACGGACGUCAUCUAGCAAUGAUCAAGAAGUGAUCCUGAACACCUACUUACGUCAUCCAUAACACAGACCGUGUUCACUUCGCGGACUCCGCCGAGAAGAGACCAUCACGGCUACACACGCACUUGGUGUAUUUUAAUUGGGUCAAGUGACAAGUUAUCUACAACCGGACAUUAACAAAUUCCCAUCUGCCUCAUAACCGCGGGCACGGCUUUCGAAAGAUAAUACCCUGCAGGGGUGUCCCAACUUAGCCCAUCAUAAGCUCUCACGGUCAACGAAGGAUAAACCUUCUCCCGGAAAGACCCGAUCAGUCUCGGAAUCCCGGUUUACAAGACAUCUCGACAAUGGUAAAACAAGACCAGCAAAGCCACCCGAAUGUGCCGACAAAUCCCGAUAGGAGCUGCACGUAUCUCGUUCUCAGGGCACACCGGAUGAGACAUCCUACGAGUAAAACCAGACCUCGAGUUUCCAGGAGGGAGCCCCGCAGUCUGCUCAGUUCGGACCAACACUCGAAGGAGCACUGGCCCGGGGGGGUUAAAAUAAGAUGACCCUCGGGCUCGCGAAAACCCGGGGGAAAAGGCUUAGGUAGCAAAUGGUAAAACCAAGGUUGGGCCUUGCUGGAGGAGUUUUAUUCAAGGCGAACUGUCAAGGGGGUCCCAUAAAUCACCCGACCGUGUAAGGAACGCAAACUCAAGGAACAUAAUCCCGGUAUAACAGUAACUAGGGCGGCAAGAGUGGAACAAAACACCAGGCAUAAGGCCGAGCCUUCCACCCUUUACCAAAAAUAUAUAGAUGCAUUAAUUAGAUAAGAGAUAUUGUGAUAUCCCAACAUAUCCAUGUUCCGACAUGGAACAAACUUCAACUUCACCUGCAACUAGCAACGCUAUAAGAGGGGCUGAGCAAAAGCGGUAACUUAGCCAAACAAGGGUUUGCUAGGAAGGAUGGUUAGAGGCUGACAUGGCUAAAAUGGGAGACAUGAUAUAGCAAAAGAUAGGUAGCGGAGCAUGGCAAUAGAGCGAACAACUAGCUAAGCAAAGAUAGAAGUGAUUACGAGGGGUGGUCAUCUUGCCUGCAAGGUUCUCAGAGUUGUCGAAAGCUUGAUCCUCGUAAGCGUACUCGACAAGUUCCUCGUUCACGAACUCGUCUCCCGGCUCUACCCAAGACAAGAACACAAACAAACGGAACCACAAUCAACAACGAGAAAUGCGCAAACAACAUGAUGCAAAACAUGUAUGAUAUGCAAGAUAUGAUAUGCGAUGCAUAUGCGUGCUCCGGAAGGAAAAUGAUGAACAUGGAAGUAACUUGGCAAACCAAGCAUGCCACUGGAAAGAUGAGAUGAUUUCGGUCGAAAUAGAUAUAAAGAUCACCGGAAUCGGAUGCACGGUUUGCAAAUGGCAAGCAAAACAAGAAUGACACGAAUCUGCGAUAAACAGCAAGAUAGCACUUAAAAUGCAACAAGUAACAAUGCUACAGCACCCCAACAUAGAAACAAAGCACAUGGCAGUAAUCUACAGGAGAUUCUUGACAAAAGAUGAACACUGAUCUACGGCUAGUUCACAACAUAUCAAGCUCAAACAAGCAUGGCAAAAGUGCAAAAGAUUACAGGUUCACAGACUUAGUGAAAAACUGGACAUGGCAGAAAUCAGCAUCAGGUAGCAAUGUUCAGAGCACGAAAUCAACAUUCUACAGGAACUUAACAUAGCAAAAGAAGGCAUGGUAGUGUUCUACUAAAUACACACGACAAAAGUCCCUUACUGACCAUAAGCCAGAAAGGACCAGAAGAAAUGAUGGCAAGCAUGUUAACAUGGCAAGUUUCGUUAUCAGGUUUCAGACUUGGCAGAAAACAGAGCAUGGCAGAAAUAUUAAUAUGUAGGCCUCUUUGUGAGCUUGAUGCACUCACUACAGAGCAAUGCAUGACAAACCAAGCAUACCUAGAGCAAGAUGGCAUGUUUAUGAAGCUAACCAUGGCAAGAACAAUUUCAUAGCAUGUAUGGAUCAACUACAAUAAGCUUGGCAAAAAUGCAACUCAUUUUAAGAAUCUGCCAGAAAUAUUUUAUAGCAAAACUAUAGCAAGAUUGAGUCAUGCUAUGGCACCCCAUAAUUGCAAACAAUUGCAGGAAUGGAUCAAUUACAACUAUAGCUACAAAACAUCCUUACUGAACAUCUCCAAAAUAUGCAUGGAUCUCUCUCUAGCAUCAAGUUUACAUGGCAACAAAAUUACAGAAGACAGACAGAAAUCACCGUCCCUGAAAUCAGAAAUAUUACGGGGCCUACUUUGCAUGCUUGUGCUAGUAACCACAGAGAUCACAAAAAUACAUGGGCUAUACCACUGGAAAUAUGGCAUGGCAUACUUCAAAACACAUGUAGAGCUCAUGCUCAAAAGAUGCACAAACUAAAUGAUACAAAAAUGACAAAUCUCCAAGUUCUGUCAAGAUCCAGAGAAUAACAGCAACUAGCCCUCUUCCAACGAAGAUUUGGGCAUCAAGAUGACCUCUAAUGAACAUGGUGCAAUUAAACAAAAUGAAGAGCAUCACGAGACGAACAAUUUGACAUAUUAUACGCGCGAAUCAGAGCUACAUGCACGAAGUUACGGCUAUAAGAACAGAGGCACAUCAUAUAACAGAAAAUGACUUAGAAGAAAAAUGGCUCGGGAGAAGUCAACCUUCCGUUGACUCGGGCGGCUGGAUCUGGAUCGAGCCAGAGAGCUCGAGCCCGACGAUGGCGCUCGCUCGCGGGGGAAGAGGAGGCGGCGAAGCGGCGGCCGUGGGGAGGAAGGGCGCCGGAGGCGGCGNNNNNNNNNNNNNNNNNNNNNNNNNNNNNNNNNNNNNNNNNNNNNNNNNNNNNNNNNNNNNNNNNNNNNNNNNNNNNNNNNNNNNNNNNNNNNNNNNNNNNNNNNNNNNNNNNNNNNNNNNNNNNNNNNNNNNNNNNNNNNNNNNNNNNNNNNNNNNNNNNNNNNNNNNNNNNNNNNNNNNNNNNNNNNNNNNNNNNNNNNNNNNNNNNNNNNNNNNNNNNNNNNNNNNNNNNNNNNNNNNNNNNNNNNNNNNNNNNNNNNNNNNNNNNNNNNNNNNNNNNNNNNNNNNNNNNNNNNNNNNNNNNNNNNNNNNNNNNNNNNNNNNNNNNNNNNNNNNNNNNNNNNNNNNNNNNNNNNNNNNNNNNNNNNNNNNNNNNNNNNNNNNNNNNNNNNNNNNNNNNNNNNNNNNNNNNNNNNNNNNNNNNNNNNNNNNNNNNNNNNNNNNNNNNNNNNNNNNNNNNGUUCGCCGGGUGCGGCGGCGCGUUUGUCCGGCGGGCGCUGGACGCGUCCGCCCGCGGAGAGGGGAAUUAGGGUUACGGGAGACUGCGAUUUCGUUUUCGGGAUGCCCACAUAUAAAUAGGUAGAGGGAGCUAGGGGACUCCAAAUGAGGUGCGGUUUUCGCCCACACGAUCGUGAUCGAACGACCUAGAGCAUGGAAGAGAGUUUGGUGGGUUUUAGGCUGGUUUUGGAGGGGGGUUUUGCUGGAUACUCAAAUGGACUUUGCGGAUGCCCGGUUAAUCGUUGGAGUACCAAACGACCUCCGAAUGGAACGAAACUUGACCGGUAGUCUCCGGGUGGUAUAUUAAGACCACUUGACAAGCCUCGGUCCAUUCCGAGAAAGUUUGACACACGCACACGAAAGAAAACAAGAGGGGUGCACCGGAGGAGAUGGGAGCGCCGGAUUGCAAAACGGACAACGGGGAAAAUGCUCGGAUGCAUGAGACGAACACGUAUGCAAAUGUAAUGCGCAUGAUGACAUGAUAUGAAAAUGCAUGACAUGACAAAAAACAAAACGAAAGACAAAACCCGACAACGGAGGGAAAAACAUAUCACAUAGCCGGAAAUGGCAAGAGUCGGAGUUACAAAUAUGGCAAGUUACAUGCGGGGUGUUACCGAAGAUCCCUGUUUGCACAAGUAGAGAUAACUACAUAUUACGUUAAGAGUGGCAUCAAAUCAGUGGCAAAACAAUUGCUCGUUCCAGCCAUAGCAAUAAAUUAAGAUGCAAAACUAUAUCAUUACCUAUGUCAUCACAGUUCUAGUGCUUCAUUACAGCACCGGGAGUUGACUUUCGUUUUUCUUCCGCUUGUUCUUCCCCUUCAUCACUUGGUUCAAUAACAGACAAGCUUCGCCUUCAAUGUAAGAUUUGGCAUGUCAAUUAGGGAGCACAAGUAUAGCACUAAACAACGACAUUAAUUUUCUGAUGACAGUAGCAAAAUACAGGCCAAUAGUUGUGAAAUAUCAUUAUCUUACCUCAAUGGGAUAUUACGGUGCACAUACGGAUUGGAAGGCUUGUCUCCAUUUGUGCAGUUCACUAAAAUCAAGCAACAUUACCGUAUAAGUAGCACAACAUAUGAAAGCACACUGCACAAUCAUGUGAAAGGAGGCUAGUACUGACCUCUCAUGACGCGGAAUUCAAACAACUCAUAAGAAGAAGAUCUGAAACAAAUUUGCCAACACGGAUAGGAAGUUAGAUCUCCUCUUGUGCAGUUCCACUAAGAUCAAGCAAUCAAGCAACGUUGCGGUGUGACAUUUUGGUUGAACUGCACAAAACACUCUUAAAACAAAAGUGUUUUGUGCAGUGCAAGAAAAGGUCGCAAUAGCAACGAGGUGAAUUAGAUAACCCUAUUUACACAGAGGUGCAAAGGAAACAACUACUGGUCAAUAACGGUGGAUGACACAGAGGCCACAAAAAGAAGCAUCUAACUUAUCUAAAUGGGAAAGAAAGCAAGACAGUAGCAUUUGUCAAACAGUGCCAUUGAUUCAUAUUAACAGACAUAUUAUAUUAACAAUAAAUUCAUUAAAUAUGUAAUUUACUUUUAACUAUGGCAUUGCUUCAAUUUUCCAGCGGCAUUAUUAGAUUAACAAUAGCUAAAGAGUUGUACGGGACAGUGGACGCACCAGCACCAUGUGCAUCUACCGAUGUAUAAAGGGGUGAUACAUAGUCUGUUGCAACAAAGAACAAACAACCAAGGAGCAUAUUUGUGUUGGUCCCAUUAUUGUUAUCGUUAGACACCUUUCCCUAUGUGAGGGCAGCAAAUCUUGUCCUGCUCAAACUCUACAACCUUGUCCCCCACCAACAGAAAGACCAGUUCGUUACAGAUGUGUGUACUGUUGUUGUCAUUGUUUUCCCUUUUCGACUGACGUAGGUGCUGGAUAGCCAGUCUGUACUACUUUCCCCCCUUCCUUUCCUCUUUGAACCACGUCCUAGAUUCAUGCUAUACAACUUUCCCGCUACUUUCCUGUUUGAUCCAACACCUAGAUUCGAGUGCAGAAGCGAAAAAAAUCCACAUGCAGCUAGAGCAAUGCAUUUGGAAUAAGUAAAUUAUACCUUAAGGUUCUCGGGGUGUGGCUCAGUGGGCGGCCGGAGGCCGAUCUGCCCACAAUAUGUACGGCAGCAAGGAAGAAGGGGUCGGAGGCCCUCCCGCGGUGCCGCUGGCUGAAAGAGAACAGCUGCGCCGGUAGUGGAUUCCCUCCCUCGCCGACAGCGACAGCGUUAAGACUCCUUCCCUUCCCGGUGGACGGAUCCUGCCGGCUCUUUGACCAGUAGUGAGGCGAGAGAGAGAGAGGCCAACAAAGUCUUGUUUCGAUCUGGAGAGGGUGAGAGAGUGUGAAGAGAGCAACUACAAGCGUUGAGGCUCUAGCGUGUAUAUAUAUAGUGGAGAGAGAGUGGGAAGAAAGCAAACCCUAGAAAACAAGCGUCGAGGCUGCAGCAUAUAUAGAUGGAGUGGUUUUCUUUUUCUCUCCAUUUUUUUUAAAUUGUGCACGAAACGGAACUCUUUAUUUAACGUAGUGAAGAAAAAUACUAGGGGCAAUGCUAAUACAUGAAGAAAAUUUAACGCUCGAAGGAGUCAACUUGCAAUUAAUGUUGCACGCCUCCCGAUCGUGCUUACUAACGUUCACGUGUGGUACACGACCCUCCGAAGUGAACAACAACUGAACCACACACGGUCAAAAUAUCGGAAAGGUGGCAUGCACCAUCCUCCAAUUUUAAAUAUUUUGGGCACUUGUAUUCGGCCUAAGUCAAUGUGCCACCGUAUGUACUAAGGGUUACAGCGGGUGUUAAGAAACUAGGGCGUAUUGAGAGUAAUUGCCAUGACGUUUAUUUGUAGGGUCACUUGCAAACUGUGAAACUCUAUUCUCCUCUUAUUUAGUGGAUGAGGCAAAUCUUUUGCCUCCGUUUCGGAAAAAAAUGAGAAAUUCAAUUUUAAUUAUUUAGUUUGUACACUUUGCUUCUUCUAAUAAUUCUGGGCACUUGUAUUCGACCUAAGUCAGUGUGCCACCGUAUCUCGUACUACUCCCUUCGUCUAGGUGUAUAAGUCAUGUUAGAAGGUGCAGCGGGACCAAGGUGCGAGCAGAUUGGAGGAGAAGGAGAAAUUUCACCGGUCCUUCCUCCAAUCAAAGCCCUGAUUUCUCUCUCUAAAUGCAACAAUUAAUCACAAAAAUUAAGAGAUGUCAUUUUAGCUACCAUGCAGGGCCACGUAUUAACUCGCAUGCAAGCCGACUUUGAUUCAUUGACUGAUCAACGCGUAGUUGCGCUCCAUGCAUUGGGUUUCCGAGGGAGAUAACAAGGCAGAGUAAGUAACGCUCGCUAGCAACGAGGCUAGGAGGGGAUUGAGAUGCAAAGUUAAUGGACGACGCCUAAACAUUUUCGGAAUAUCUGAUUUUUGUACUUAACACCUUGAUGGAGGGAAUACUACUCCUCAGUCCAGGUUUGAUGGAAUAUUCGUCACCUCUUCUCUUCUUGUACGUACUCCAUUUAUCUCACAUCAUGUGGCUUCCCACUCGCACGAUAUUCCUAUUCUAUGAACCUGUGUGUGUGCAUGUGUGUGUGUGUGUGUUUUAACAGCGUGUGUGUGUUAGAAAGAGUGACACAUCAACCUACUCCUACAAAGGGAAUCCCCUAGAGAGAGAUGUGUAUAGUGUAUGAUUUAUCCGCGAGAGUCGGUGCAUCCUCUCAUUUCCGGGUGUCCGGUCGGGAUAGCUGUCACGCCCGCUCCUGACCAGCCUGGCCCACCCACAGCCCCUCCAUCGCCCGCGCACGCUUCCCGCCCGAAACGGUCAGCGCUGCUCCAGAGAAUCGGUGUCGCAAUCAUGCCCGGGUAGAGCGGACGCGACCUCUCACUGGCGCCUGCGUUGAAGGGAGAAGCGGAUUCAAGAGUGAUGGUUGCUUCGUCCGUCCAACUUACUGCUGGGUCUAUGUGAUUUGACGGCUCAUUGGUCAUUAUUACUGAGGUGGUACGACUGCUGGAUGUCCCACGUUUCGGUGAAAGGAGGUAGAUUACAAUUUUCUCUGUUCUUAUAGCGAAGGAGUGUGAAAGAAGUGAAAAUACGCAAGCUCGGUGAUUACAUGGCCCACCUCACACUAUCACCAUAUUUUCUGGACACCAUGCGACACCUAACUCUUUACAUAGUACUAGUACGUACUGUAAUUUCUUAGCGAGAUAAAUUUGUACAAUGGUAUGAAGCUUCCAGCUUUUGUUUCAUGUAUCUUGUGUCCAAGGUUGGCCCGUUGCAACAUUUCAUCAAAUACAAUGGAGACUAACAUGCAUGCUAUUGCAUAUCAAUGAUUGACAGAUCAUAGCCAAUAUGUACUCCCGCUGUUCCAAAAUAAGUGUCUCAACUUUAUGCAAACUUUAGUCAAAGUUGUACUACUACUAAAGUUGACACUUAUUUUGGAACAGAGACAACUAAGGAAAAAACAAUCCAUGUAGUCCCUAACCCUUGAACCCUAAACCCUACCAGGCUUUAAUUUGCUGGCGACGUUGAACCUUCCGAAGAAAUGAAGUUUGCAACCCUUUGACCAUCAGAUCAUUUUGUGCAGUUUCACUAAAAUCGAGAUGAGCAUCCCUGUGGCAAAGAAAUUGAAGAAGCGUGAUUAGAAUAAGAUUAUUAGUUCUAGUUGAUGAGACAUAAACUCAUCACAAAUACAGUAAAAGCGAGUAGAGGUACGUGCGGGGCAAAGAAAUAGAGAAAUAUCCACAUGGAGCGAUGUGGGCAGCUGGGGCAGUGGUGCAAGCCGGCUGUAAAGGAAGUUGUACCUGAGGGAUUUCGGGAUGUAGCUCAACCUAGAGGAGGGCGGCGGGAGGCAGCAACUGCCCACGUCGCGGCAGUGAGCAAGGGACCAAGGCAACCACACCGGCUUUGUGAGAGAGAACGGCGAGGACCCCUGAUCGGGACGUGCCAACAGUGGGUUUUCGCCGUCGGCGACGGCGACCGCAUCUACACAAAGCAUCCACCCCUUCCCCCAACGGACAUGAUCCGCCCGAAUGUUAGAGAUGUGGCCACAAUCGUUUUGUGCGAGAGAGUGUGAAGAGAGCAACCCCAGCAAGCAACCGUGUAGGCUCGUCCUGGCUAUGUAUAUAGUGGAGCGGUUUCUUUUUCUCUCCAUAUGAACCUAUUUAUAUUGCGUACGUGCCACUGAAGAAAAAAAACUUUAUUUAUAAAUGACACGGCACCGUUCAUGCGUGGUUCCCGACCCUCCAUUAUUUAUAAGUAACUACUACUAGACGCGUCAAAUUAUCACGUGGGCUGCAUCAUCGGCCCUGUUUGGAUACUCUAACUUAGCUAGAGGUUAGAGUUAGUUUCUAGCUCAUGACUAACCCUGAACUACCAAAGAGGUGUUUGGAUGCCAUGGUUAGAUUGACAAUAAAUGCACUAGGAGAACUAGCUCCAAUUAACACCUCUUGGAUUGGAUAGUUUUUUUGGGUGGGUUAGAUGCAACUAGCUCAAACAAGCCCUCAUGUUUGGAUACUUUAGCGCUAUUUGAGCCCAAACUAGCUCAAACUAGCUCUAACCCAUGGAUCCAAAUAGGGCCAUCGUACAGAAAUGAGCUCCACUGUGUCAUGUGUGGUUGGGGAAGAUGCAAAGAGUGCUACUAGUACUACGUGCGUGGGUGCGUGCACCUCUAGCCCACUACUCUACCACACGGAUAUUAUAUGGGCAAAGCAUAUAGGUAGUAAUAAUGACUAAUAAGCCGUCAAAUCACGAGGCCCGCCUUUCUCUAUGUUUGACCGAGGAAGCAACCAUCAUUAGCUCCUCUUUGAAUAUCCAUCCGCUACUACCUCCACAAAUAAAUAAAAAUCCACUUCUACCUUGGCAGCAUGGUUAAUAAUACAGCCAUGUCAAUCACGACGUAGAAAUAUCAUUCACUGAUACAAUAGGGCUGGCUCUAAGGCUGGUGAUUUUUUUUUACUUUGUCUCUUUCUCUUUUUGUCUCAUUUACUCAUUUUACAUAGGAGCACGUGUAGAGGAUGGCUAUUCCUUUCGAUGGGACUUCUUCAUGGGGUUUAAGACUAAGCAGCUCCGAAUUAUUCUCGCUGCCCACCACUCUGAAUCGUGCCAUCUAUGAUAGUACUCCCAUUGCAACAAUGAGGUCCACUAGGUCUAGCACGUCCUGUAAGAAGAGACUGUCACGCAAAACAUACAUCUUGUUGCCUUCUUCCUCAUACAGUACGUACACUGGUAUGUACUACUAGUACUAGUACUACUCGUUCUCCUAUAAACCUUGCACUUGGCAUCUCAAAAAUAUUAACCUUGCGCUUGGCUCUUCGCCUCUUCGGGAAGUUAAGCAACAAUGGUACUACAGUAUAUCGUUCUGGCUAUGUGAGACCGAAUGAAUUGUUUCACGUCCACCACGUGGGCGAGGGUCGACCGAGGGUCGAGGGGCGAGGGAGAGUGCGUACUAGUACGUCCGUUUCAAUAUGGACUACAUACGGAGCAAGAUGAUUGAAUCUACACUCUAAAAUACGUCUAUAUACAUCAGUGUUUGGAGUAUGUACUAGUAGUUAAUAUUGAAAUCUACAAAAAGACAUAUAUUUCAAACAAUAUGAUAAUCUCUCUAACCAAGGUAGGGACGAGGAGUACCGAGGGAGUAGUAAAAUGUUCUCCUCGUCCUGCGAGCCACCGCGCGCGUGGAUGAGGGAGCGGGCGUAGGCGUAGUAAGCAAGCUUCUCCUCGUCCUGCGACUCUGCGAGCCACCGCACCCGUGGGCGGGGGAGACGGCGUACUAAGCAAGCUUCUCCUUGUUCUGCGAGUUGACGGGACACAUCAAAAGUAAUACGUACAGAGCAUCUCCAGUGUAUAGAGCCUUGCCUCUAAGGUAGGCCCCACAUGGUUUGCCUAUUUCUUUAAAUAACACGUCAAGUCGCAAUUUGUUUGUUCACUCAUGGUACACGAUCCUCCAUCAAGUGUACAACCAGUACACGUGUCAAAUGACCACGUGGGCUGCCUUUUCGUACAUAAAUGAGCUCCACCGUGUACCCGCGCGGGUGUGGUUGGGAAAGAGACGGGAGUGCGUGCGUCAUGCGUGCACCUCUUCUCUUUGUGCAUGUCCCCCACCUACGUGGGUGUGUGUGAGAGAGAUACAAACCUAGACAGAUGGUGUGUGCGUUCGUAAGUGUUUUUUGUUGGGGGUGAUUUCGUGAAUGCAUUUGUGGGAAUAUGUGUCGGUGAUAUCUCAAACAAAAAGUUGACACAUGCAAUGUGUGUCAAAUAGAGGCAUAUCUAUAUCAUAUAUAGAGGGGGUGAUCCAUGAGAAGAGAGGGAGGGGUCAUAGAUAUCGAUAGAGUCGAAGAGAGGAUCAAGUGGGUGGGUGCGAGAUCGAUGAAGAGAGCCAUCGAAAUUGUGUGUGUGCAAGUCAAAGAUAUAGGGCAACUGACCUACCGGAACGUCAGAGGGCACAUGGCAAGUUUGUGUGUGGUAGGGAGAUAUGACUAGAGUGCUCGAUGUAUCGGUGUGUGUGGGGGAGGAGGGCGGAGGCAGAGACCUAACUAGAGAGGUAGAUUGACUCGUAUAUGUGUUCAGAAGGAGAGACCCAGCUAUGUCUUGAGCAAGAUCGGUCGACAUCCAUAGAUAAGUGAAGGACAGAAAAUAGGUUGGGACAGAGAGAGAGAGGGGGGGAGAGAAGGGUAGAGUGCUGGAGGGGUGGUGGAGUUGCUUCUCGAAGAUGGUGGGAGAGGCCUACUAGACAAACUAAGGGUAGAACUGCAAUAUUAUCAAGAAGAGAGGGGAUGUGUUUCUGUGUGUGUGUGUGUGCGUGAUAGAUGUGUCGGGAGGCAUGCAUGGAUGAUGAAGGGGGACCAUGUGUUUGGAAAAUGAGUUAUAACGACCUAGCUAGCUAUAUGUAUAGCGGGAGAUCGUUCAGUGUACAUCCAUUUGUUAGAGGCAAAUAAGGACCAGAGAGACGGAUAGACAGAGAGAAUGGAUCUAGGAGGUGGCGCGAGAGGCCUACUAGCUAGAUAGGGGGAGGAGUGUGCGAUUGUGAGAUCGAUGAAAAGAGGGGCGGGAGUUUACACGUGUGUGGGACCGUAUGAGAGACACGAGGCAUGGACACAUAAAGGUGGAGAUGGAAGGUGCGUGUGUAUGUGGUAGGCAGACAUCACUGGAGAGGUUUAUCGAUCGGUGUGUGUAUGAAAGGAGUUGUGGAGACCGUGGGAGAACGAUUUAAAGAAAAUAAAUGAAUGUGCGCGAAGGAUAGAAUGCUGAGGAGGGGGAGGGUGUGUACAUGCACGAGAGAAAGUUAGUGCUAGCUACAAAGGUUAGAGAAUUGUGUGGGUGUAAGAGACUAACAAAGAUCAUAAUUCGAUAUGAAAGUGGAUUCAUAUAUUUGAAUAGGAGAUCAUAGUGUUAUAAGCAUAUGCAUGCAUGAAUAUAGCAGUGAUACGCGUGGUGUGGUUUUGGACAUGUUAUACCAUAAUGUGAUAAUGCGUGGCGUUUGCAACUCAGAGCUAAAUACCGAACAAUCUAAACCAUACUAUACAUCGAACAAUCUCACAUUUUAUUUGAAUUUGUGAUAACAUGUGGCGUUUGCAGCUCAGAACUAAAUAUCGAACAAUCUAAACCAUACUAUAUAUCGAACAAUCUCACAUUUUAUUUGAUUUUGUGAUAAUGUGUGGCGUUUGCAACUCACAUCUAAAUACUUGUAGGCGUAGGGGGCGGGGCACCAUACAUUAUAUGAUAAACACAUUAUACAUAUGAGACAUGGUUUAGAUUAUGAAGAUCUAGCUAGAGCCUGAAAUGUACGGUGAUUUGAAAUCAACAUAAAGUGGAUUCAAAAAAUCGAGUUUGAGUUCAUAUAGUACACAUAGUUCAUAUCUAACUCGACAGUAAUCAUGUGGUGUGCUGUGAAGAUAAUAUACAAACGAUGGUUUGACUUGACAAUAAUGAUGAUUGUAGAUCUUAUUAAAAUAGAGAAACGAAUUCAAAUGGUUUAACUUGACAACAAUCACGAUUGUAGAUCUUAUUCAAAUAGAGAAAUGAAUUCAAAUUUAGUUCAUAUUGAAGCAGUAGUAUAUACGUUUCGAAUGCACUAAAAUGUUCCUUUGAGUAGUAGGUUGCAUGCAUUAUACACGUAGUGAAAUAUUUUAAUUGAACAUAACAUGGAUUCAAAGUUUUGAAUGGCAUUGUUUGUGUGAAUUUAUUUGGUAUAGUACACGGGACUAGACUCUCUUGUGUGGUGCGAAUUGAUUUUUUUUUGUUUUUUCGUCGAGGGAAGUCCGAAUUGAUUUGGUACAAUACAUGUUAGGCUUGUCCGGAAAUUUCAACCCUCGCCUUGCUACCCCGAAAUUUUAAGAUAUAUCUUUGUCUCUUUGUGCUCCGAAAACUCCCUCCAUCUCAACCCGUGCCUUGCUAUCCUAAAAUUACAACGCGCGCGAAAACUCCCACCUCCUGUGAAAUCCCGACACGUGAAAUGCCCGUGAUACCCCUGAACCGAAAGAAUCGCCUAGCUCAAAUCAGUGGGGGUACUUUCGUAACUUAUCCCACAUUUCGGACAAGCGCGUCCCUAAGCCAUGGUUCCCCCCUCCCAUCCCAUCCGCCCACCCAUUCGUACACCGAGGCCGCGAAAACACGCGAAGCCCCACACCCUCCUCCGUCCGCCACCCAGCCGAAGCCUCUUUCCCGACGACGUUGUCCACAGCAAUACCUCGACGUCCCUCAUCCACCGCACCAGAUGAGGAUCUGUCAUCGAUCUCGUCGUCCCGCCGGUUCAGCCACCCCGUCCUCCACCUCCAAGGAGCUUCCCCGACGUUCCCCUCGUCUUUUGCGCCACCUCCAUUCCCACACCGCCGUCUUCACCUGCACCACUAGAAGAGCAGCAUCAUCACUGAUUCCUCGGAUGAAGCUGAGGCCUAAUCGGUGCCACCAAAGAGGUUCUACACUAAUCGCCGCAUUUUCUACUUGGUUCGAUCUCGCGGUGCUGCUGGCGGUCGGUCACGAGCCGACAUGGCGCGGCUCCAUCCACGGCGGCGUCGCCGGCCACUUCCUCCACGGCGUCGCUCCCUCGGCGGCGACGUCCACAUCAGUAGGAGUUGUUGCUAGUUUGGUUCUCGCUCGCACUACUGCUCUGCUCUUGCUCUUGGUCCCCUGCCUGGUCUGCUCUUUCUCGCGCUACUGCUCUCGCUCUUGCUCUUGCUUGCACUGCUGCUCUCGCUCUUUUUUUGCUUGCGCUACUGCUCUACUCUUGCGCACGAUGCUGCUAUACGAGCAGCAGAUCCUACUCUCGCUCGAGCCCCUACAGCUGCUACCCGAGAUGCUGCUACACGACCAGCUGCCCCAGCUCUCGCACGCGCUGCUGCUCCAGACGCUGAUGCUGCUACUGCUGCUUUUCUGCUACAAGUUCGUUCGGUUUCGAUAGUAAAAUUUAGUUUUGACAGCAAAAUUCAGUUUUGACAGUUAAAUUCAGUUUUGAUAGUUAAGUUCAUAGAUGAGCGUCUGAUGCAUUUUACAUCUAGCACUUUGUGGUUAUGUAUUUUACGUCAUCUAUUGGAGAUGCUAUUAGAAUUCCACUCAGGUUAACAUUGUCUCUCUUGUCCUGCUUCAACCUCACCGCCAUACAACUCACCGGAGCUGCUCCAACGAUGAAACCCUCCAUCACAGCGGGGCAGUACCCCGGGCUCCAUAUCCAGACGCCUAAGAUCUUUUUCCCCUCCUUCGACAGCCAAAUCAGCCGGAGCAUCCUCACCGACCACCCCAAUCACGUUGAGAUCGACAUGGCUUCGCCAAAGAGGUUGUACACUUGUUGCAUCGCUUUUUUACUCUACAUGUUAUAUAUAUUGUCCACUGAGCACACGUAGUAACGUGAAAUAUGAUUAGUUUCUCCUACUAUAUGACAAGCAGUGAGGUAGCAAGCAACUUAGCUAUCCGUGAUCGACUCUAUUGAACACCAUCAUUAUUUAUUUUUGCGCAUUUGAGUUGUGCAUUUGUAGAUGGGCCUGGGAGUUGAGCUAGUAGGGCAGUGGCAUGGGUCCAAAGUAGUAGAAGUAGCACAAAAACAUUUUUUUAGUGUAGGCUUUUCUGUGUUCAAGCCUGCCUACUAGAAUUGCCAGUGGUUGAAAGGAAAAGUGAAGGAAAACAUAGGAAUUUGAAAGUUUCCUAUGGUACUACUAUUAAUGCAUUUGGUUCAAAGGAAUGGAGCAAAGGAAAACUGUAGGAUUUGUUCCUUUAGUGUCUCUUUCAAAUAAAAACCGUAGGAAUUUUAAUAUCCACUUGGCCCUCCUUUUCAAAUUCCUAUUCAUGAAGAACAAGACUAAGUGAUAGUAGCAUAAUAGCAUUAUAACUUUACAUUUUCUUGUGGUUUGACUUAAUUGACCAUGCUUCUUUGCAUUCCUGUGACCUUCCAAUUCCUGUGAACCAAACACCCAGAUUGACAGAAAUCCUAUGAUUUUAAAUUCUUUGCACAUGCAUUCCUAUCCUAUUACUGUGUAUUUCCUAUCCCUGCAUUGUUAGAAUCCUCCUAUUCAAACGAGCCCUUACAGAAUAACUUCUCUUACAGAUAGUUGUCAAAGAAAACCUUGUGUGGUUUGUCCCUCUCCUGUUGCGCUGUCGUCCACCCCAGCUCAGUUGCUCCAACGACAGAAGGGUCCACCACAGCAGGGAUCCGGCCUCCAGACUGUCUUUCGCCGCCUCAGAUCUUCUUCCCCGGUGCCGGCAGCCACGACAACUGCAUUACCAUCAUCAACCGAGCAGAUGACCUCGAGGACUACACGGGUCCGCAAGAGAGGUAGCACUCUUUCCUGUCUGCUUACGUUAUGCAUCCCUUAAUAUUACAUGCUACUUUAUCAUCCUAUUCACCGAUUAGACUCUGAGUCAGUGCAAACUAAUGCUCAAACUUGAGUUUUUAAAUGGUUGUGGGGUACAUAUCGGGGCCGCAAUCAAUAGUAUAUAUCUACUAUCUAGUUAAUCUCUAGUGUCUACUAUGAGUUUCAUGUUGGGUGGGAAACAAACAGUAAAGAAGCCAUUAUCUGUAUUUUUUAACUGAAGCCAUUAUCUGCCUGCUAUCAUUGGUGUUGGGUCUAUCCACAGGUUGCUACCAUCACUCUGGAUUUCUGCAAGCACUCCUUACAUAAUCUCAUUAUGUUUAAUUCCUAUGCAUGUCAGUUAUUGUACACAAUGGAACUGAACAUGUAGAGCAAAAGAGACGAGCCUUGCAUGGCAAUAAAAUUUCAUGCAGACGUCGCUCCAUGGUGGGCGCAAAGGCAGCCCCCCUCCACCCAUUUCAGGUUGUAACCAAGAGGAAGAUAACUGUUCUGAGGAGGAUUCAGAAGGAGAAGACCACUCCUAUUUACCCCCCUGAGGUCUUCGCUCUAACUUGGCAUGCUGAUGUUGGUAAUAUCAUGCAUAUGGUGCCUUGCAUUGCUUACUUUAUACAUCAAAUAUGUCAUCUCUUAGUUUAGACAUGCUUUAUGUGAAUGCCAUCUAUUUAGUUUCUUUAUCGUAUAUGUGAAUUGUGCAACACCAUCUUGUUUAGCCAGGCAUCAUAUAUGUGAAUUUUGGAAUGCCAUCCUGCUUAGCCAGUCAUCUUAAAUGUGAAUUAUAUCAUGCCAUCCUUUUUUCCAUUACGUAUUACAUUUGUCACCAAUGUUAGUGCAUUCAACUACUCUUCAUGUGCAUCAGCCAUUUGACACGGUGAUGGAAAAUUCUGGAGUGAAAACAAGGUCUUCAGAGCAGACUAUGCUAUCUGACAAAGCACAUAUCUCGCUGGUUAUGAAUAGCUCCUCGGGGGAGGAUUCAGAGAUAGAUGACCAGUCCUAUCCCCCCCCCCCGAGGUGUAUGCUCUAACUUGGCAGGGUUAUGUUGCUCAUAUCGUGCGUAUGGUGUCUUGCAUUGCUAUGUCAUUUGCUUAGUUUGGACAUGCUUUGUGGGAAUGCCACCGGUUUAGUGUCUAAUUACCAUAUAUGUGAAUUAUGCAAUGUCAUCUUGUUGCAAGACAUUAUAUAUGUGAAUUAUGCAAUGCUAUCUUGUUGCAAGGCAUUAUAUAUGUGAAUUAUGCAAUGCCAUGUUGUUUAGCCAAUCAUCAUAUAUGUGAAUCAUAUCAUGCUAUCCUUUUUUGUAUUACAUGUUCCAUUUGUCGACAACAUUUGUAUAUUCAACUACUGUUCCUGUGCAUCAGCCAUUUGAAGUGGUGAUGGAAGUAUCUGGAGUGAAAACAAGGUAUUCAGAGCAGACAAUGCUACCUGCUGAAGCAGACAUCUUGCUGGUUACAGAUAGCUGCUCAGAGGAGGAUUCAGAGACAGAUGACUAGUCCUAUUUCCUCCCUGAGGUCUAUGCUCAAACUUGGCAGGGUUGUAUUACUCAUGUCAUGGAUGUUGUCUUGCAUUGCUUAGUUUUUAUAUCAUAUAUGCGAUUGCCAUCUGCUUACUUGCUUAGUAUAUAAAUCAUAUAUUUGAAUUAUAUCAUGCCAUCAUGUUUACAUAGACGGCAUCUAUCUGAAUUAUGGCAUGCCAACCCAUUUAAUAAACACAUCAUAUAGUCAUAUCAUCUCAUUAUUUUUAGUGUUUACAGUCAUCAUAUUUUGAAUUAUGUCAUUCUAUCUGUGAAUUAUAUCAUGCUAUCAUGUUUCCAUAGGCGGCAUGUAUGUGAAUUAUGGCAUAAACACAUUAUAUAGUUAUAUCAUGUCAUCCUAUUUACAUAGUCAUCAUAUUUUGAACUAUGUAUUUCCAUCCUUUUUAGUUAGCCAUCAUAUAUGUGAAAUUGUGUCAUGCUAUCAUGUUUAGUUAGCCAUCAUGUAUGUGAAAUUGUGUCAUGCUAUCUUGUUUGGUUAGACAACAUAAAUGUGAAUUAUUUCAUGCCCUCUUUUAUUCCCCACUAUCCAUUGCACAUGUCUACCAUACAAUGUCUAUACAUUCAAUUAUUUUUCUUGUUUAUCAGCGAUUUGAAUUGGAGAGGGUUAUGGCAAUAUCUAAGGGAGUAACAACACGGUGUUCAUAAAAGAUAGUGCUACCAGUCGAUGCAGAUAGAACCACGGUUAUACUUGCCCAAGAACCAGCCCCACCACACAUAACAGAAACUCUCGCAGAUUGUAACCCUACCCAGUUGGACAGAGAACCAGCUACACCCCUUCUAACCCCAACCCCAGCAGAUAGUAACCCAGUUCUAGUUGACACAUCACUGUCUCCACCACAGAGCACCCAAACACGAGCAGUUAGUAAGGGAACUACAGUGCCCAAAGCACGAGGACCACCACUGCGAACCCCAACUCAACGCUUAAAUCAGAAGAAGAAUUGUUCUCAGGUCAGGUUCUGUAGCUAUGGUUCAUACUCCUUUGCUCUUGCAUCAGUGUAUUUACUCAUACCAACUAUUUUCAAAUUUGAAGGAUGGAAUUGAAACUCCAAUGGCGCAACAGGUAUGUUUUAAACCUAUUUCUUUAACUGGUUUGCUGUUGUAACUUGUUCUAUGUUGAUUUUAGUUUCAAUUGCAUAAAUAGUUAUGUUCUCAUGUCAUGCACAUUACAAGUGUUGUUAUUCCUCUGUAGUUUCCCACACUUAUAUUCUGUCUAUUCUGCUUUGUCUUAAAUAGAUAUUAUUUGAACUGUGUCUCUAUCUUGAUUUGGCAACAAAAACUAGAAUGAUAUAGACCGUACAGUGACCAUGGUACAUAGAUAUAUGUUUGUUUCAUGUUGUUAUCAUGUCCACUUUACUACUGAACUGAUUUACCAAAAUGAGUUUCAUAUACAACAUGGUAAACCUGUGAUGUGUCUGCUUGUUUCUCUUUUAGAAUGCGGACAAAAUAUUGGAGAAGAGUACCCCGUUAUGCAGUGGUAAAGGAAGUAAUGCAGAUAAGGUUCAAGAUAGUCAGACAUCCCUGUUGGUCUCCAAGAAAGCUGAUAAAAACUAUCUUGAUGACAGUGAGACAACCCAAAAGUCCUGUCUUGAUGUAGUGUUCGAGUUACUAGCCAUUAAUGCUGGCACAAGCUCUUCGAACUCGCUGCCUGAAUCAGUUCGUCUUCUUGAGUCUCAACUUCAAGUUGAAAGACAUUGAUCAGAUGUGCUGCGACACGAAGCCGAAGGACUGAGGAAGUCCAUGCAGAAUUCAGAUGCAUACUUUCUGGUGCAACAGCGAGCGCUGGAGGAUUCAAGCGCAAAACAAGAUAAAGUUAAUAAGCUUGCUAACCAUCUUGCCAGCAUUAUCAGUACCCAGGAUAUUGUUUCUUGAGCUCUUCUGAAGUGGUUUCAGUUCUGGACUUGUUUUGCUACGGUGUUUAUUUGCACUGGUCGCCAACUUUUACAACUAGUGUAUGUGAUAUGCUGCUUUGUUCCCUAUAUUUGCACUAGUGGCGAACUUUGAUGCCUAGUGGAUGUAAUAUGUGUAAUAGUCGUGAUAGCCUAGCAUAAGUUGCUUGCUUAUUUAUUUCCUUGUUGUCUUGUUUAUUUGUUUGCUUGUAGUCAGUGCAGUUCUUUUUCAGUGGUUUGCUAGUGGCCGCAAUAACCUAUUUUUUUAAACUAGGCCACAAUAACCAUGGGCUACAUAUUUACUGUAGUGACCAUGGGCUUCCUACGGACCAUAGAAACAAUCGGCCCUCUACGGGUCGUAGAAACAAUGGGCCUUCUACGGGCUCUAGCAUCAAUGGGCCUUCUAUGGGCCGUAUGAUCGAUUGGCCAAACAUGGGCCAAUAACCGACCGCAUUAUGGGUCGUAAACAGGCAAGAGUUGGAAUCGCCCGUUCAUGGGCCGACCAUAACGGUUCGUCUUUAAUGGGCCGUAUUUGAUGACGCUAUGAAAAUGGCCCAACGGAUUAACAGGCCACAAAUGGGCCGACUGUAACCACGGGCUGAAUUUGGCCCACAAGUAGAAAAGGCCAGUAAGUAACCGAAUGCUGGAAAGGAGCCCGAGAAUAAAUGGGCCCUGAGAAGGCCGAAAGAUAACACGGGUUGGAAACGGCCCAAUGGAAUAAUGGGCCAUUAAUGGGUAUAAAGCGGUACGCUGUUCAUUACGGGCCAGUUUCACCACGGGUUGUUAAUGGGCCAAGAGUUGCAAAGGGCCUCAUAUGGGCUGAAAGACGUCAUGGACCAUACAUGGGCCGGAAGUUACAACGGGCUAGAAUCAUAUUGGACGGCCCAGAUGAUGCUACUGAGCUUAAUUCGGAUAGGCCAUAACGGGUCGUGAGUUAGCGGGGCGUAAAUGGGCUGUAUAUGAAUAGGCCAUUAACAGGCUUUCCGUGGGCCGGCCCUCUACCUUUUGACCAAGUCAAACAGGUCGGCCUUUUCAUCGGAAUGGGCCUCUGUUGGGUCGUGCCACGUGUCAACGUAUCAUAGGCGCCUCCUGUCCAAUGAGCGGAUGACAUCGGUCCCAACGGUGAGCCGACACAUGGUUCCUCUGGCCAUUGACAAUUUUACACGUGGAAAACCCCCAUUGGUCCGGGCUAUUAACGGGUCAUCGGAUCCAAAACUGGACCCGAUAGCUUAACGGUGGCCCGUUACGGUGGAUGCCACGUGUCGGUUACCCUUGACGAAAGCACUUCCAUGACGCGCAAUUUAUCGUCAUGGAAGUGGACACAUCUGUGAUGAUAAUUUUGGUAAUGCCAUGGAACACUUCUAUGACAGCACAGGUAAGACUAUCUUUAUUUUGUCAUAAAAUCGUCAUGGAUGUACAUGCAUUACAGAAAACAUGACCUACUGUGACAAACACGUAUCAUCACGGAAGUGUAUUUUUUUGUAGUGCAUGUGGCAAUGUAUGUGAAAGAGCGAGGCGGCAGCGAUGAGGGCGGCGAUGUACUCCCCGGCGGCAGUCAUGUCGUAGUCCUUCGAGUUCAUCGAGUAUCUCAUCUGGGCGAUGGAGCAGACAGAUUCGCCCGAGGCAAAAGUCAGGUGGAGGUGGUGGGCAUACAGGUCGAAGGUCGAGCAUCCAAAGGAUAAUGAAUCGAUCGAGUACAGUGUGCCGUUCGUGAGGGUGCAGUGCUAGCCGGAGCCAUAGGAGUAUUCAUUCUCCCACCGCAAGAGGAGGACGAAUGGCGCGAUGUCACUUCCCCGCCAUUCUCCAUGGUUCCCUCGCCGCUCGGAUCGUUUCAAUGGCUGCGGUAGGGUUUAAGGUAAGCUUCGCACUAACCUAAUCUUCCAUCUACUCAUGCUUACAAUCAGUGUGACGGCUAAUGAAAAUCAUACAGGUAAGUACUGGUAGUACUCUGAGUACUACGCCAAUCACCCUAAAAUAGCUCUGGACCAAAAACAAGGUUGUGACACUGUGUACAAAUAAAGAAAAAUCGAUUGGUGCUUCUUCCAGAAAAGGGUACUCCCUAGAAAAGUGCCAAUAUAAGCUACUACUAUUUGAUUAGAGGAUUUGCUGCCGAGAAAGAUCCGUCCACAGAGAGCGCCACCCAUUCCACCGAUGGUGGAUGCCAAUGCUUAGGUGGAGCAUGGUUGGUGUCGGUAAUUUUUACUUGGCACCUUGCACUCUGCAUAUAUGCCGGUUCCAUCCGUACAUUUGUGCAGUUCCACCAAAAUGCAGAUGAAUAACCCUGUUUGCAUAGAUAAUGAAAAAGCGCGAUUACAUUAUAGUGGCACUAGUUGAUGAAACAUACACUAAUAAAUUUCAUUUUCUUACUGGGAAAAUAUUGCGAUAGUAUCACAGUAUGCCAUGCUGUGAGGGCAAGAUGAGCCCUGCGACGCCUCAUACUAGAAAUCGACCUAAUUCUCCCUGAUACGCCUUAUGCCAGUGAUGAACAUCAGUGUACAGCGGUAGUACAAGGAGGGGCCUUGAGACAUUCCAAUCUCUAUUUUUGUGCAGAUCAACUAAAAUUAAGCACCCCAGUUUACAGAAACACUUAAACAUUAACCAUGGGACUAGUUGAUGAAACAUAUACUAACAAGGAGAAGUACUUUCUUUAUCUACAUUGGAAAUGAAAUGAUAGAGAGGACACUAGCUCUAUUUUAACUGUAUUAAUACUUCAUUUUAUCAGUGGCACUAGGGUCGAGUAGGUGGCAAGCGAGGUGUAUCGUACGUUGCAAGGAUGGCGGCCAGGGGUACUUAGACUGGGAUGCUGAAGCUAGCUCUUUCAGUCCCUAUCUCCCCCCCCCCCUGAUGUUUCGGUGGUAGCUUUUGGGUUGUAAUCCAAAUUGGUUGAGCUAGGGUUGCGUCCCCCUACCUGCCUAGCUUAUGUGGCGAACUUGUCUCCUGCGAGUACUCUGUUCGUUCUAGUAGUAGUUGCAUAACUACCCAUUUACAUUGAAAUGUUGUCGCAUAAUGGUUAUCUAUGGUUGGGUUUCUUUAAUGAAAUUGGAGGAAAACCCCUCUUUUGAUAUAGAAAAAUCAGUGGCACUAGCGGUGCCAAAACAUUUCCUCAAAUUAAUAGUGCCACUAGAUUAAGGUGCAAAAUAAUAACAUUACUGCUUUAUCAUGGCAGUGCCAAAACAGUAGCAUAAGAGCAGAGUCAACAUGCAGGAUCUUUGGCAAACCGUUGGACCAAAAAGGAACAUACCUCGUGAUGGGAACCAUAUAUCCAGUCAACGCCAUUGUAGAAGGGAUGACACCGGUCAGCAACAUGGAUGAUUCAAUCAUGGGACCUUUUUGUGCAGUUCGCCUAAAAUGAAGCAAUGUUUGCAUCAGCAGUUAGCAAGUACUUGGUCCCAUGAGCUAGCAGCUUCUUCAUAGCUGCAAUAAAAUUGAGCAACAUCAAGGUUGGUCGUGAAGCUCGUGGAACAUUCAACUAUAAUUUGGAUAUCAUUUUGUGCAGUUCAACUAAGAUCAAGCGUGAAAUGUAUAUCUCUGUUUUAUUGCAACUAAUCCAAACUUGGUCGAGCUGGGGCUGCGUCCCCCUACUUGUCUAGCUUAUGUGGCGAACUUGUCUCCUGCUAGUACUCAGUCCGUUCUAGUAGUAGUUGCAUAACUGCCCGUUUACACUGAGAUGUUGUCGGAUAAUGGUUCUCUACAGUUGGGUCUCCUUAACGAAAUCAGAGGAAACCCCCUCUUUUGAUAUAUAAAAAAAUCAGUGGCACUAGCGGUGCCAAAACAUUGCCUCAAAUUAAUAGUGCCACUAGAUUAAGGUGCAAAAUAAUAACAUUACUGCUUUAUCAUGGCAGUGCCAAAAUAGUAGCACAAGAGCAGAGUCAACAUGCAGGGUCUUUGGCAAACGGUGAGACCAUAAAGGAACAUACCUCGUGGUGGGAACCAUAUCUGCAGUCAACGCCAUCGUAGAAGGGAUGACACCACUCACCAACAUGGAUGAUUCAAUUCAUGUGACCUUUUUGUGUAGUUCACCUAAAAUGAAGUAAGGUUUGCAUCAUGCAGUUAGCAAGUACUUGGUCCCACGAGUAAGCAGCUUCUUCUUCAUUAGUUGCAAUAAAAUUGAGCAACAUCAAGGUUGGUCGUGAAGCUUGUGGAAUGUUCAACUAUAAUUUGGAUAUCAUUUUGUGCAGUUCAACUAAGAUCAAGCAUGAAAUGUAUAUCUCUGUUUACACAAAAGGGUGGAAAGGAGGGUGACUAACAAGUGAUGAAACAUACAUCAACUGAAAAGAAGCAUGUCCCUUAUCUAAAUGGCAAUCCUACAAGGACAAUAGCAAUUUCUAAAGCAGCAGCAUUGCUAGAUAUUAGUGUAGGAAUUAGGAUUAACUAUGACAACCGUUAAAUAUGGCAUUACUUUAAUGGUGCCAUUGCUUCAUUUUACCAGAAACAUGACAUUAACAGCUGCUAAAGGGUUGGUAUUUGGGCACGGGAGAGUAGGCGGACCAGGACAGUUGCAUUUCUAACGAAAAGAAGCAACUUAUCUUAAUGGGAAAUUUUGCAGGACAUGAAAGGCAGUGCCAUUGAUUCAUAUUACUGGAGGCGUUACAUUGAAAACAACAUUGGUUUAACGUGUCCUUACUUUAAUAGUACGACUGCUACAUUUUACCAGUGGCAUUACAUAAGAGGGGCUCGGGGCAACAAACAUCCAAAUAGGAUAUCUGGGCUGGUCCCAUUUUUGCUCGGUAUAGCCACCUUAUACUGUGUGAGGCUAGCAAAUCUAGUGCUAGACAUACUCUGUUGACUUGUCCCCCAGUCCCCACUUUCUUUCCUUUUUCAGCUAAUAGAUCAGUUUAUAUUGAGUUUGUACUACAUUUCCCUUUAUUUCCCUAUUAGACCAAGAGACCAGUUGGAUAGCCAGUCUCUACUACUUUUCGCCCCCAUUAUUUCCUCUUUCGACCAAGUCCUAGAUUCAUGUAACAAAUCUUCCCCCACCCCCACCCUCUUUCUUCCCUGUUUGAACCAAGUAGUACUAGAUUCGACUACAUGAAGUAGUACAACUAGAUUCUACUGCAUGAAGUAGUUUUACCUCUUAACAGUAAAAAUUUAGGUGGCUUUCGAAUAGCCGAUCGAUCCUAUCUAUGAUGGGGCCUGAGAAAUAGUAAAAGAUACAAAUGCAGCAACGUGAGGAGCUGGGGCAAUAGAGCAAGGCCGGUUUCGAAGGAAGUUAUACCUGAGGGUCGCCGGGAUGUCGCUAAGUGGGUGGCGGGAGGACGGAUGUGCGCACACUACGGCAGCGAGGAAGAAGGGGUCGGAGGCCCUCCUAGCCGGCACUGCGUGGGAGAGAAUGGCAAGUCACGCUGAGGGAGUCCUGGACUAAGGGGUCCUCGGGCGUCCGGCCUGUUAGCCAUAGGUCGGACUGAUGGGCUGUGAAGAUACGAAGACCGAAGACUCCACCCGUGUCCGGAUGGGACUCUCCUUGGUGUGGAAGGCAAGCUUGGCGAUCAAAUAUGAAGAUUCCCUUCUCUGUAACUGACUUUGUGUAACCCUAGUCCCCUCCGGUGUCUAUAUAAACCGGAGGGCUUAGUCUGUAGAGGAUAGAUAUAAUCAUAGUCAUACAGGCUAGACUUCUAGGGUUUUAGCCAUUACGAUCUCAUGGUAGAUCAACUCUUGUAAUACUCAUAUUCAUCAAGAUCAAUCAAGCAGGAAGUAGGGUAUUACCUCCAUAGAGAGGGCCCGAACCUGGGUAAAGAUUGUGUCCCCCGUCUCCUGUUACCAUCGACCUUAGACGCACAUUUCGGGACCCCCUCCCGAGAUCCGCCGGUUUUGACACCGACAUUGGUGCUUUCAUUGAGAGUUCCGCUGUGUCGUCGUCAAAUUGGUUGAUGGCUCGCCUCGUCGUCAAGGAAAAUAUCACCUUCGGAGGAGCCCUAGCCCCAGGCCAAACCCUCCGGCUGGGCGGCUUCAUCAUGACCGCCUAUUCGGCCCUUAAGCCAACGAUGACCUCUCGAGUCAUCGAAAAUCGCCUCUGCGUUGAUUCCGAAUACUCCAAACGGAUGGAUCCGACGGAGUUAUCGUCUUUAAACGAACUUCUAGAUCGCAUCGCCACCUUGGAGGUCGCUAUAGACUAUGAUCCUAUUGGGCUUAAACCCGACCAGAGAGAAAUGAAAACUCCGCCAAUCACCCACCAGAUAGCGGUCGUCGAGGAGCAAGACAACUCCUCCUCUAUACUGAGGACGAAUUGUGUUCGGAUCUCUGAGCUCGAGGAGCCGGACACCUGCCUGCAGAAAGACAUGCCUUGUCCUCCGAACAUAGAAUCGAACGACAAGCCCAAAAAAUCAGUUGACAUACCGGAGCCCGAACUAUUAAGUUCGGAAGUUCUUCAGACUCCGGAUCCCAAAUUGGGUCAGGCUCCGGAUUUAUAUCCACCCACCCACCCAGAUAUAAGCACUCUCAUGGGCAUACGACAGCAGUCUCAGGAAACGGUCCACCACUUCUGGGCCAAAUUCCUCCUUGUCAAAGAUAAGAUUAAAGAUUGCAGCGACGGAGACACAAUCUUAGCGUUCCGCAAAAAUUGCACGGAUGAAGGAAUCCUCAACGCCAUCAACCGCCGCCGCAUAUCACACUUCGCAGACUUGGCAAACAUAGUACACAAGUACUACGCAACGGAAAGCGCCUGGAAAACUCAGGCAGCCCGUUGGGAGCCACCGGUUCCCACCAAACCCCUCGUUCAGGUGAAAAGGACGCACCCUCAUGGCACUACCGGCCCAAUAAUAAAGAAAUACAAGCCCAUUACAGGGCACGGAACCGUUCUGGAGGGAUGGCUCGAUGGGCCAUGCAAAAUACACACAACACCGGAUACCAUAUCAACCCACAGCCUUAGAGGAUGUUGGAUACUCCGGCAAGUGGCCAAGAGCGGCGAGGAUAUCCUCACCAAAAACACCGCAGAGCAGCAACCCCCAGAAGACGACGACCUCAGUGUACUGACGGUCUUCGAGACUUUCGCUUCAAACAAUAAGCGCAAAAGGGCACUCCGCGGCCUCGCCAAAGUCUGCCAAAUCUCAGCAAUAAACCCUUGGAACGACAUGGCCAUAACCUUUAAUGCCGGUGACGAACCAAAAUUUAGAACAGUCCAGGCACCAGCCGCCUUGGUCCUCAGUCCGAUCGUGGACGGCUUUCGGCUCACCAAGGUUCUCAUGGACGGCGGCAGCGGACUAAACCUCAUUUACGAGGAUACACUCAGCAAAAUGGAAAUAGACAGGAGCCGCAUCAAGCAAAGUAGCACGACCUUCCGAGGAAUUAUUCCUAGUCGGGAGGCGCGAUGCGCGGGAUAAAUCACGCUGGACGUGGUAUUCGGCACACCGGAGAACUAUCGGUCCAAAGAAAUAACCUUCCAAGUGGCCCCUUUCAAUAGUGGAUAUCACGCCCUAUUGGGGCGAGAUGCAUUCGCACGCUUCCAAGCUAUACCUCACUAUGGGUAUAUGAAGCUCAAGAUGCCCGGGCCCAACGACAUAAUCACUCUCGCCAGUGAUCCGGACAUAGCACUCUGCACCGAAAAUAAAACCGCAUCCUUGGCCCUUGAGGCAUUAUCUGAAGCCCUCACGGCCGAAGAAUUAACCGCAUUACGCUCCACGGUGGAUAGGGACGACGUAAUCCUGGACAAACGACCCAAAUCCACCUCCUUCAAACCAGCAGAAGAAAUAGUCAAAUUCCAAGUGCACCCAACGGACCCCAAGAAGACAGCAUCUAUUGGGGCACAACUAGACCCAACGGUCGACGCCGCGCUACGAGAGUUCCUGCGUGAGAACUGGGACAUAUUCGCCUGGCACCCUUCUGAUAUGCCAGGAAUCCCACGCAGGUUGGCCGAACACAGCCUCAAUAUAUUGAAGGGAUAUAAACCGGUCAAACAAACACUAUGGUGCUUUUUCGAACCCAAACGUCAAGUUAUGGGGGAGGAGCUAGCCAAGCUAAUCGACGCCGGAUUCAUUAGAGAAACAGAACACCCGGACUGGCUAGCAAACCUCGUGAUGGUACCAAAGAAGGACAAAUCCUGGCGCCUGUGCGUCGAUUUCAAAGACCUCAACAAGGCCUGCCCUAAGGAUCCCUUCCCCCUCCCUCCCAUCGAUCAGAUUAUCGAUGCAACCGCAGGACACGACUCACUGUGCUUCCUUGAUGCAUACUCCGGAUACCAUCAAAUCAAGAUGAAAGAGUCAGACCAAGCCGCAACGGCAUUCAUUACCCCAUAUGGGCCUUUCUGCUUCAACACCAUGCCCUUCGGGCUCAAAAACGCCCGGGCCACCUACCAACGCAUGAUUCAAACAUGCCUGGAGAAACAGAUCGGCAAGACAGGUGAAGCAUACGUGGACGAAGUUGUCAUUAAAACUAGGCACGUCAAGUCACUCAUAGACGAUUUACGUCUCACAUUCGACAACCUCCGGCCAUAUGACAUCAAGCUCAAUCCGGAAAAGUGUGUUUUCGGCGUCCCCGCUGGAAAACUGCUGGGCUUCAUCGUUUCCAAUAGAGGAAUUGAAGCAAAUCCAGCCAAAAUCCGAGCUUCGUCACAAUUGGCUACGCCAACGGACCUUAAACAGGUCCAAAAUCUCGCCGGAUGCGUGGCAGCUUUAAGCCGCUGUAUCGUCUCCUCCGGCGCACUGAUCACUUCGAGUGGACGGAUGCGGCAAUGGCUGGACUGGAAGAAAUAAAAGCCCUUCUAGCAAGUAACCCAAUCCUGGUCGCACCUAACGUCGGCGAACCCAUGUUAUUAUACAUAUCGGCAACACACCAGGUGGUGAGCAACGUGCUCGUCGUUGAGCAACAGCAGGACGGACACAAAUUCCUGCUUCAGAAGCCGGUAUACUACGUAUCCACUGUCCUCACACCAUGCAAAUCCCGGUACCCUCAUUAUCAAAAGAUAGCAUACGCGGUCUUCAUGGGAUCCCAAAAGCUACGACACUACUUUCAAGAGUGUUCGAUCACGGUGGCUUCCGAAGUACCACUCAAUGACAUAAUAAACAACCGCGAUGCUAUGGGCCGGAUUGCCAAAUGGGCCAUUGAUCUCCUUCCAUUCGACAUAACAUACAAACCACAUCGAGCCAUUGCCAAAUGGACACUGGUCGAACUCCCUAAAGAGUACGGCACAUAUUCCAACUGGGUCAUGUAUUUCGAUGGUUCCAAAAUGCUGGCAGGACUAGGAGCGGGUGUUGUUUUAACGUCCCCCACUGGAGACGUAGUCCAAUACGUACUCCAAAUAUUAUACAGAGAGUCCAAUAACACAGCCGAAUACGAGGCCUUAUUGCAUGGUCUUCAGAUGGCUGUCUCCAUGGGCAUAAAACGCCCGAAAGUGCACGGGGACUCAAACCUCGCAAUAUUUCAAAUAAAUGGAGACUUUGAUGCCAAAGAUCCGAAGAUGGCGGCUUAUCGUAACGCAGUCCUAAAAAUGUCGGCUCGGUUCGAGGGGCUCGAGUUUCACCACAUGGCCCGAGAAAGUAAUCAAGCGGCGGACGUCCUUGCUCGCAUCGGCGCCAAGCGCGACCCCAUCCCACCUAACGUCUUUCUGCAAAGGCUUUUUAAGCCAUCCGUUGUGUGGCAAGGGGAGAGCGGCAGCACCAGUCCGAAUCCGAACACAACCCUAGGUUCCGAACACACCAAUAUCAUCGGGGGCUCAGCCACCGAAAUAACACCGAGGCCCAUCUCAUUAUGGCAGUCAUUUCCCCAUGGACCGAACCCUUCUUGGCCUACUUAAUAGGAAAGAACUCCCUGAGGAUCAGAAUGAGGCCCGCCACAUUGUUCGGCGUUCGAAGGCCUACAAGGUUCACGACGGAGAGCUCUACAAGAAAAGCGCUACCGGAGUCCUUCAAAGAUGUAUCUCCGAGGAAGAGGGGCGGCAGCUCCUGGCUGAAAUUCAUGCCGAUCUCGGCGGGCACUAUGCCGCAGCUCGGGCCCUUGUUAGCAAGGCCUUCUGUACAUGUUUUUAUUGGCCGACGGCCCGAGAAGAUGCACAGGACCUUGUCCAACGUUGCAUCGGAUGCCAACUCUUCGCCAACCAAAGCCAUAUGGCCCCCACCGCCCUACAAACAAUCCCCAUCACUUGGCCUUUCGCGGUCUGGGGGCUCGAUAUGGUCGGACCCCUUAAAGGAGGAAGCCAUAAGAAAAAGUAUCUGCUGGUCAUGGUGGAUAAAUUCACUAAGUGGAUAGAGGCCAAACCAGUUAAAACGGCCGAGGCCGGGCCAGUGAUAGAAUUCAUAUCCGGUGUUGUGCAUCGUUAUGGUGUUCCACACAGCAUCAUCACCGAUAACGGCUCCAAUUUCACAGCCGAUGAGGUGAAAACCUGGUGUGCUAAUCUGGGCAUUAAGCUCCAUUACGCCUCUGUCUAUCACCCGCAAACAAACAGUCAAGUCGAACGAGCCAAUGGUCUUAUUAUGAGCGGCAUCAGGCCUAGACUAGUGCGGCCUUUGAAAGAAUCAGACAAGCACUGGGUUGAGGAGCUCGACUCCGUACUCUGGGGGCUGCGGACCAUGCCCAAUUGCACUACCAGAUAUACACCUUUCUUCAUGGUGUACGGCGCAGAGGCAGUGUUACCCUGCGACAUUAUUCAUGACUCACCUCGAGUGCGCAUGUACGAAGAGAGAGAGGCCGAGCUUGAUCGGCAGGACAGCUUAGAUGCCCUGGAGGAGGAACGCGACAUUGCAAAAGCCCGUUCCGCAUUUUAUCAAUAGCAGGUAUCAAAGAAAAGAAGUGUGGGCCAAGACUUAUAAUGUUGGCGAACUUGUUCUACGCCUGCCGGAGAAGAAAAAGGACAAACUCAAGCCCAAGUGGGAGGGUCCCUUCAUCAUUGACGAAGUUCUCACCGGAGGAGCGUACCACCUGCGUGAUGCGUCAAACAAUCGCCUAGAGCCGAACCCCUGGAACGCAGCCAGACUCCAAAGAUUCUAUGCCUAGCGCCGAACUCUUUGUUCGUCUCCUUCUCCCUAUUGUUUCUAUUACUUUUUCCUCUCUUUUCGCCUUUUCCUUUUUUUAGCCUUAAAGCUUUUUGCGCGGCUAAACCGUGCACCUGCGACAUACACAUACUCAAAUGUGUACGUCAGUUAUACCUGGGGGCAUCUUUGACAGAAGCUUAUUAUUGUUAUUUUUCGAGCAUCAAGCUCAUCACAUAUGCGGGUUUUCCCCAUAUGUACCUUUUCUUCGCCAUUAUAUACAUCGAUAUGACUUAAGUUUUGGCCAAGCUGGGUUGCCUGGCUCCUGUGCUUAUGCCCUACAUUCACGUUAGUUCGGCUAGGGCAUAAAGGGAGCACCUCUGCGAUUGUUACUGCCGGGUCAUCCGGAUGUGUACCUCAGACUGGGUGAAGCCGAAAGCUAGUGUUCUUAAGGGAAUAUUCGGUCGGCGAACUAAAGAUGUUUUUACAUUCAUUAAAACAUGAACCCCCAGAUGUUGAAUAUCCUGCAAAUUGUUUUUCAAUCAUAGUUCGGACAUGCACACUAACGCAUGCACACCCAGGGAAAGGAACCCUUAACGGAACUAUUCUCUCUGGAAGAUGUUUCUUACGAUCACAAUGUAAUAUAACAUAGCUAGCUGGAUACAACUUGUCUGUUCAAGCAACUAUGACCCCUACGCCUGGUUUCCACGCAUACCCCGGUUUAUUUUUGCCGCUCAGGUAUUCGGAAACACUCUGCACCUUCAGGUCCGAAGGUCGAAGCGAAAAGGUCUGCCAUGACAAUCGUUUUGCAAUCCGGCUAGGGAUAACUUUGUCAAGGAAAGUACAUAGUCACUUGGACUCAUAAAUUUCCUCCUCUAUACCAUCCAGUAGGCUGUCUAACUUACAAUCCUACUGGGAAUACUUGGCGGCUACUUCCACUUGGUCAUAUACCAAAUUAACAGGAACUUCUUUUCCAUUUGACCCUAGAGGUCCGACCCGGGCCAUAUGAUUUGGAUCAAGCUUGGUAUACCGCGUUUUUACCAUGGCCCAGGCUUCUCGUGCACCUUCCCGGCAGGCCGAGAUCUUCCAUAAUCGAAAGCGCCGCCGCACUCCCUUGAAUAGCUCUAUAAGCUCCUCCAUUCUUCCUGGAGGGGAGGCGAAUGGCCAUAAGGCCUUGGCAACACUGCGCAUCGCCUGCUGAGCUUGCUCGUGCAUUUGCGACAGCUCUUGUAGCAGAUCGCACGAGAAUCCAGACAUCUCCUCUUCGGGGCGACCGGUCAGCACACCUGCACACAUAACUCUGUCAGUCCCCUUUAUCUCCGAAUUACUCGAAGGUAAGUUCGACCACAUACUGAAUAUGCCGCCACGCAGCCUCUUAUUCUCCUUCACGGAAUCAGCCAGCUGGGCCCGUACAUCUUUCAGUUCUUCGCCCGGCUGGGUGUGGGCAUCAUGCAGCUUGUUUUUCUCGUCUCUGACUCACGUCAGCACACGUUCGCCCGCGGCAAGUAGCCUUUUGGCUUCUUGUUCUUCCGCCUGGGCGGCUUUCAGUUGCUCCUUCAGUUGAUCUGACGAUCCUGCCAUAGGAUGAGCAACAAUGUUAAAAUUGCCGGUAUAUAAUUAUGUUUUCUCGAUGGAGGGGAACAUUACCGGGUGAUGCCUUCUUGGAUUUCUCCAGUUCGGCGGUAACAGCAGUUAGCUGUGUCCGACAUUUUUCUAGCUCUUGAGACAAUAGGUUGUUCUUCUCCGUAAGCACCUGGUUAUACAAUGAUCCUUAAAUCAGUUGUAUUAACUGCUUCAAGUAUCGGGGGCUACUGGUAUAUAAUUAUCAUAUUUGGACAAUGUAAAUUUACCUGCACGUCUUUUAAAUGUUGAUUUGUGGCUCUGGUAAGCCCAUCUCGAGCAGCUCGGAUGUAUGCAUCAGUCGAGCUGAAGGCAUUAAAUGCCUCUUCUGAAAAGCUGGGGUCUCGUAAAACGGCCCUCCGGCGCCGAUGAUUCAGGGCACUCUCCACUUCUGAGUUUUUGACGGAUACGUCAUCCAAAUCCUCGGCCGAAGGACAAUCCGGCGUCACCCCCGUAUCAGCCCCCGUCUUUACGGCAGGAUCUGGAUCCCGGCUAUGGGGAGUAUGACCAGCCGGACCCCCGGACAUAGUCCGGCACACUCUUUUCCUGAUACAGGACAAACAAAAAGGUCACACUUGGAUGCGACUGCCAAGGGGCAUAUUUGCAAAUCCAUACCUCUUUGAUGAAGGCUCGGCCAUAUCUUCGUUUGCCUUCCUCUUCGAAGGCUUGCCCGGCGUGGGGGCCGCUCUCUUUGGAGAUGCCCCUGGGGCAGCAUGGCGCGCCGAACGCCUCCCCUUUUGAGCACAGGACAGUGCGGUGGGUGAGGCAGAAUGAGAGAACUCUUUCAGAUGAGAUGUCUCCUGAUUACUUACGUGUGAAGCAGGGAGAAGACCGGGAUAAUCAACGGUGAUGGCCACUUCAAUGUCGUCAUACCUCGCCUGGUAAAACACCCCAUCCACGAGCACCACGAAUAUAUCCGUAUCCUCUUCGAAUCUGGGGUCAAGGUCCCGAUUGUGGCCCUCGGGCUCUGGGGCGGGGCUGUGAAGCCCUUCGGAAAUCUUUCGCCAGUGCUGUUAUAAAUGGACGGAUUAAUAUUCAUUGAAAAUAGCUCAGGGAGUGGAGUGAGUAGAGCAGAGGAGUUGGGACUUACCCAGCUAGGAGGACUGUACAUGGAAAAUCCAUCUUUGCGCUUGAUACGGGGAAAUUCCUCUUCCUCCCCUUUGAACAGUUCGGCCAAUAUUUUGGCCAGAGCGGUGGGGGUGUCCGGACCCUUCCUGCCGCAGCGGGAGGCGUCAUCCUCCCCAUUGUAGUGCCACAUGGGAAGCCCUCUGUAUUGGAGUGGUUGAACCCCCCGUAAUAUGGAAGUCGCCAUUACUUCGACUAUUGAUAAUCUGGACUGAGCGAGCGUCAUUAUCUUGCUCAUGAGUUGACGAACUUCCGCACUAUCUUCCUCCUCGAGGCUCCGAGGGCGCCAGUUGUGGCGUUUCUUCAAAGGAACGCUUGUGAACUCAGGAAGACCCCUCUGAACUGGGUCUGGAAGUGCGACGUCCUCAAUAUAGAACCAUUCGGAAGGCCACUCUUCGGAUGCCUUCUUUGGUGUGCCGGACAGGUAUCCAGUCUCGGCGAUGUCCCAUAUUUCGGCUCCGCCCACUUCAAAUAUUGAUCCCUCGUAGUUGCGCGGGACGAGACAGAAUAGCUUUCUCCACAAUUCAAAGUGGCCUCACAACCCAGGAACAGCUCACAAAGAGCAACGUAACCCGCGAUGUGCAAGAUGGAGGCGGGAGUGAAGUUGUGCAGUUGGAGGCCAUAGUACUCCAGAAGCCCUCGGAGGAAUGGAUGAAUAGGAAAUCUGACACCUCUUAGCAAAUAAGGGACGAAGCACACUCGUUCCCCCCAGAUGGAUUGGGGAAAUUCUCUGCCUGGACCUCCUUAUUGAAGGAGGUCAACCCUACCCGAACUGGAACUAGAUCCGCAGGGGGAAGAAAUCCCUGUGUUUGCAGCUUCACUAGCUGUCCAUGGGAUACGGAACAUUUCUCCCAGUCGCCUUUUUCUGGGGCGCAGGGACGGGAGGAGGAGCUGGAAGCGCGAGCCAUGUUGGAAUGGUCUUUUCUAGCAAGCUCUGAGGAUUUUUUCCGCGUGGUGUUGAAUGGAUCUGAGAUCCAAUCUCUUUAAAUAGACACUCCUCCUCACAUGGCCGGGGUGUUAUAUGUAAAAACACCCUGACCUCUCGCAUUCGCGCAACACGUGGAAGCUGAAGUUGUUGAUACACAGAAGCCGAGGGGUACGACAUUAAAUGGAAGGCCGAAUACAUUGUUUUAAAGUCAUCGGAGGAGGAACCCGCCUUGCAAUGCCGAAGACUAUCCGCGCCAGACACCUCGUUAUUGAAGUCUGGUUCGGGGGCUACUGAGGGAGUCCUGGACUAAGGGGUCCUCGGGCGUCCGGCCUGUUAGCCAUGGGCCGGACUGAUGGGCUGUGAAGAUACGAAGACUGAAGACUCCACCCGUGUCCGGAUGGGACUGUCCUUGGCGUGGAAGGCAAGCUUGGCGAUCAAAUAUGAAGAUUCCCUUCUCUGUAACCGACUUUGUGUAACCCUAGUCCCCUCCGGUGUCUAUAUAAACCAGAGGGCUUAGUCCGUAGAGGAUAGAUAUAAUCAUAGUCAUACAAGCUAGACUUCUAGGGUUUAGCCAUUACGAUCUCGUGGUAGAUCAACUCUUGUAAUACUCAUAUUCAUCAAGAUCAAUCAAGCAGGAAGUAGGGUAUUACCUCCAUAGAGAGGACCCGAACCUGGGUAAACAUUGUGUCCCCCGUCUCCUGUUACCAUUGACCUUAGACGCACAGUUCGGGACCCCCUACCCAAGAUCCGCCAGUUUUGACACCGACACACACUGAUUGGGACGCGCCGGCAGUGAGUAAGAGUCGUCGUUGAGGACAACCGUGUGAACAUUGCACCUUCUCACCUUCCCCGGUGGAGGGGAUCCGGCCGGAUCUGUGACCAGCGGUGAGCAGAGAGAGAGAGAGUGGCCACCGCAGUCGUGUUUAGAUGUGGAGAGGACGAGAGAGUGUGAAGAGAGCAACACUAGCAAAAAAGCGCGGAGGCUCCUACCUAUAUAGUGGAGUAGUUUUCUUUUUUCUACCGGAGCCGGCUUGACCUCGUCAAUGACUAUCGAGAAGUCUUCAUGCACGUGCCCCGAAGGCGCAGUUGUCGUCAUUUUGAUCUGAAGCAUCGGAUUAACAUAUAACACGAAAAAAUGCCACAUGAUAAGAAACCAUAACCUCACUGCCCCAAGGAGAUAGCAUAAAUCCCGAUGGACAAACUAGACGAGGAUCAAAGCUCAAAUUAAAGACAAACUCAUAGAAAAGGGGUCAAUCGAUAGAUGUCCUAAUUAACAUAGCCGGCUUGACCUAGAUGGCAGUCGAGUAGUCUUCGUGCAUGUGCCCCCAAUGACCAGCGCCUUGGAGGAACGCAGUUGUCGCUGUUUAACCCUCGCAGUGAACCGAAGCACAUGACACCUAAUAUUGCGAGAUGACUAGAAACCUUUUUUUAGUCUCAUCAGAACUACAGCCCUGUACAACACAACCUGCACGAUAUGUAGACGACAGCCAAUCCAGCCAUCUGCUGGAGUCUGGUCACAUACAUGGACGAACUGAUCUCCCGUGUCGUGCAGGGAUCAUCCAGGCACCGACGUGUGUACAACACUGCUCCAGUACUAUCGCUUGUCUCUCUUCUAUUAACUCAGCCGACUUGCGGGGACGGGGAGUGUGCCUUAUGGUCGGUUCUCAAUUGCGGUCCCACAUGUGUGUGCAAACACAAUUUGACGCGCGUUCCAUUCGGAGAGCGGCGAGCCAGAACGACCGACCAUCUGGGGUGCGACGCGAGCGCGACGGGCGUGUUGUAUACAUGUAAAUCGCCGUUUUCUUCAGGCUUUGCUCCAUAGCGCAAUCCAUGGAUACAAAAUUAUAUUUAAAAGUCGAGGGUGAGGCUUUUCCUGCACGGUAGGCGGGGCAGUUCCGCCUAGUCGGUUCGACAGAGAUGUGAGAAGAUGAGGGAGUAGGUUGCUGCAAACGUAGGGCUGUGUGAUUUGACGUCUCGUUACUGUUGGACAGGGGGGCCCUGUGAUUUGACUUGCCAUUAUCAUUACUACUGCAGCGCUACGACCGGCGUGAGUCUCCUGAUUCCUGACCACCUCCAAGGUAUACAGGUGCCAAGAACUGUACUACCUAGCUACUUACUCCUUGGCAAAUGCAAUAAAUACUAUGAAGAAAGAGAUAGAGAGAAGUAAAAAAAUUACUCUUAUAGCUAACCUUAUAGCUAACCUUGUUGUAUGAGUGACUAUAAGUGAUGACUAUGUAUGACAUGCCAACAUCAGAUAGCCUAAUGCACCUGGACGGAGGAAGUAGUUUCAUGCAUGCGAAGUAGGCAAAAAAAUGCACAUUUAUAGUUGUCUGAAAUGUCCAAGGGCGCGACCCCGCGAGCGAGGCGACGGUCGUGGUAGGCGCGACCAUGAUACGCUGUUGAUAGCCCUUGGAACUAAGAUCGAACAGUCGCAUGCUAAGUUGCUGAAAAUUUGCAGAAUAACCCUCUAGGAUAGGAUAUUCACCCAUAGGUCUAGAAUCACGCCAUGCAACCGUUCGAUCUCAGAUCCAAGGGCUCUCGGAAGCCUGUAUCAUGGGAGCAUGGAAAGCUUCAUAUCACCUGUAAUUUUCCCGACGCUUGACGUGCGAACACAUAGAUGCUGUACUGGCAAGCCUACAAAGUGGGUUUAGUAGUCAUGACAUCUAAUUGGGCCCCCAUAGUACUGUGCAUGAAUCCAUUUAUCCACUGGGCAAGCCACUACCCUGCCAUUCGCACGCCCCACUCAGCAUUUUUACAAUCAAAAAACCGCUAGCAGUUCGCUCCUACUCGUCCCGGCCGUCCUUUGACAUUAUGUCAGUUUGCUACUAGUCGUCUGUCCUUUCACAUUACAGCAGUUAAACUAAUCCUAACCCUCCUCCAAAAUCCAUGGUGUCCCAAAUCUCCAUGAGCGGCGGUGAGUACAAGGUUAGAACCAUCACCGGCGAUGAGUUCGGCGUCAUCUACACCUGUUCUUCUGCGACAGUGAAAGGAUGCCUUGCUCGCUUCAAACGCAUGUUCAAAAAGUCAGAUGGUGAUGAGUGGGUCGCUGGGCUAGAUGUUGAGUACACCACAAUCCUGGGAAAAGAGAAGAAUCUAAAGGGGGAAGAGAAGAAGAAGCCCGCCAUGAUCCAGGUUUGCGUGCAUAACUUGUGCUUGGUGUACCACAUAUGCCAUGCUAACAUUAAGUGUGAGGAUUUUAAGAACUUCCUCAUGGACGACAGAGUCAAAUUCUUACUAUAGACUUUCGUAACGACGAGGAAGUCCUGGGUCAGAUACGCCUCAUUGUAGGCCAGCGCUUCGACCUCUGGAAGAAUAGGCUGGUGUCCUCCCGUCAGCCUUCAAUGCUGACCCUGGCAGGAUCCAUGGUUGAUCCUUCAUACGGCAAACUGACAAAACCUGAGCACAAGUUUCAUCUUGCAUGGGAGUGGAAUUUAAUAGAUAAAGACCACAUCCAGUAUGCUGCAAUGGAUGCCUACCUUUGUUUCAAUAUCUACAAGGGUUGGAUGAAGAGCGAGAGCCUAGUGUGCGGUUCAAGCAAAGAAAUAUCGGCCAAGAGGAAGAGGGACAAGGACGAAGUCGAGGACUUGGAUGAGGAGUCCAAGUAAUUAAGGUGGCAGUGUCGUUGCUCAUGGUGGUUCUAAUGUAGUGUCUACCGGAUUAGUUGCUUAGUUUAAUUUCAAGGUGCUUAGUUUUAUUUCAGGGGUGUGUUGCGCUGAGCCCCCAGCAGAACUAUGUUCUGUUCUUUCUCGUUACUUUAACUCUUCAGUACGUAUAUACUUGUAUUUCUUAUAGUUCAUCCUGUAGUUGGUAGUACUGCCACUUGUUUCUUCACAUUAUAUACGUACAAUAUAUAUGGCCAACAUUAUAUCGCCAACAGUUGGCUAUACUAUUAUCCACACUCUAAGCAUGCCACAUACACAAAACACUUAAAUGAGAUAUGUAAUUCUAAAAAAACUUAAAUGAGAGAAGUUUACCCAAAGCAUGAAGGAGUUUAGUUGUCAAAGAAUUAAAUAGUUAUGCUAAUUUCUUUAAUAGACUUUAGUACCCCAUCUAAGCACGUACUAGCUUUUUAAUAGUACUAUAUGCAUAAUUUGGCGAUGAGCGCUCUCUAUAUGUACCACCUUUUUUCUUUAAUUUUAUCUUGUUAGUUUUUCUCCAUGGCGCAAUCCAUCGAUACUACUACUGUACAAAAGUACAUUUAAAAGGCUAGAGGACGGGGCAGUCUCGCUUGGUUGGUUUCACGAGAGGCGAGGGCCUUUGUGAUUUGACGGCUCAUUACUGCUGGAAGGUGGGGCCUUGUGAUUUGACUGCUCGUAUAAAUGUUGCCGACGACCUGAGGAGGAGCAAAGAACCGUGCGGUAUACUCAAGUUUUCCACUGGAGUACUAGUACGAUGGAGGAGCGAGAAACAUGGCAGCCCAGUACGAUAUGACGAUAAAAAUGAUCUAAUUUGCUAGUCAUCGAUCCCACGGCACCGCUCAUCGUUAGCAUUGUUCUAUUCGUGCCUCGCAGAGAACGUGACACAUGCGGCAAAACACCCGAAGCAAAAGAAGAAACACAGGAGCAAAAGAAGGAAGAUUAUGCCCCCCAAAAAAGAAGGAAGACACAGACACUGGGGCGCUGCUCUCUACUUCACGAAGAGUUAACUGCGGAGUCCUAACUGCUUCUUCAUUGCCUCCACGACCUUCAUCUCCUCGCUCGUCUCCUCCGCCAUCUUCUUCAUUCUGUCCAUGACGCGGGAUUUCUCGAGGUGAGCGUACGUCAUCUGUUCCACGGCCGCAUUACGUACCUUGACAGCAGCCGGGUGCUCGAUGCAGAGCUUUGCCAACUCCUCCUUCUACUCUUCUCAUGCAGCUUCUUCCAGUCGGCAUUCUCCUCCUUCAGUAGGCUGAGCUCGUGGCGAAGCUUCGCCUUGUCCUCCUGAAGUUGCAGGAUUUCACUGGUCGCCUUCUUACCCGAGGCAAUGCUCUCCUUUAGCAGCAUCACCAAGCCCACGGUCAACUCCUCCUGCUUAUUGAGCUCAGCGGGCAUGUCGUCGAGGCUGUCCUUCAGCAGCUCCACCAAGCCGUCGAUGAACUCCUUCUGCUUAUUGAGCUGAUCAGGCAUGUCGUCGAGGGAUAACGACUCCAGCACCGCCAGCUCGGCACGUUCACCUCCGCGGCUAGGGCGCUCCUAGGAGCCCUCACCUGCCCAUGAGAGAUCUUUCAAGGUCUCUGCGAGGCGGCGAGCCCUCUCUUUUUUUCCGCGGCCUUGGUCGCCGCUCCCUCUGAAACACAUGUGGGUUCCGCUCAAAGGCGGCAGUGCUAUGGGCCGCGGCGAGAGGGUAGCCCGCGGGAUCCUGGCAUCUAAGGGGUUAUCCAUGGCGGGAUCCGGUGGGCAAGGCGGGGAGGCGAGCGUAGGCGCUGGGAGAGCCCUACGAGGCUAAGAUAAAGAUAGUACUACUCCACUCCGUGCAUAUUUAAAUACAAAGGCCACCAACAGUAACCCGGGCAAAAAGUGAUCAUGCUGCCUGCGUCCUGGUUUAUUGGCCCCCUUCUUAUUUUGUGCCAAUUUUUGAUCAAAAAUUUAACUAAGAAAAUGUUAAUGCAUGUCACCAAAAAAAAUAUCAUUGGAAUCACAUUUUAACAUAGUUUUCGAUGACAUUACUUUUUAUGACAUGCAUAAAAAUUGUGUUACUUAAAUUAUGGUCCAAAAUUGGCACAAAAUACGAAGGAGACCAAUGGAAGUACCAACCCAUGAUUUAACUACUCGCAUGCACGCAGUGGAGUGGUAAUGUCAUUCUCAACUACUUCCUUCGUCAGGUCCACUCAAUUUGCAUGCACUGUAUUGAUUGACCAUCAACUAAGUGAAGGACUUUACAUGCGUCAAAUUAUCACAUGGGAUGGAUCUUUGUACAAAAAUGUGUCCCACUGUGUACCCGCGUGUGCGUGCGAGGGUAUGAGUGCUUGCGUGCACAUCUUCGCUUCAUGCACGUACUGCCAGUGUGCGUGAGAGAGGACGAGUGCAUUCUUCUGGAACCAGCAGCAUGUCACUGUGAUCAAUCCACACAAGGAGGUCGCGACAACGCCUCCACAUGUGCCACGUGGCUUCAUGGAUGCCCCCCCCCCCCGCACAUCAUUUUAAUAAUAAUAUAUUAACUGAAAAAGUGUGAGACACUAUGUAGUGUGCGAUUGGGAUUCUAAUUUAUGUGUUUUGCACAUACUGGAAGAACUAGUAAGGUACACAUGAAUUGCACGCAUGAGAUUUGGCAACCAAAUUAUGAAUAAAUACCACACUAUAGCAUGUAAGCUUUGAGUCAUAUAUGCAUGAUGUAGAUGUUUGUUUAAUUCUUAUAGUUAAUCUCAUUCAAAAUCAAUUAGUUUUUAUUAAAAAAGCUGAUCUAUUUUAAGAUUCAUGGAAUUGUGCGUUGUAAAGCAUAAAGUAAAAAAACAAAUAAUGGCAAAUCAUCUAGAAAAAAAUUGGGCAAUUAUGAUACAGAAGAUAUAGAACAAGGAGAUGACUUUUGAGCAACCCCAAUGUUAAUCGUACUGUAAGAAGUGACUAUGAUACUCUCAUGGUCUAAGGAACUAAAUCAAACGUUAACACUUCAUGGUAUAACAAUUGACUUUUGAUGAUAUUAUCUCAAGGUAUAACAAACAAAUUUGGGUCGAUUCAAUAUGAUCAUUCUUCUAACGUCAUGCUCUCAAUGUUUUUUAGGACUAUCAUUACACUUAACAAUAUCUUAAGAUCCAGAAAACAUGAUCACCAACAACACUAGAGCUAGUCUUAGAUGCAAGACUAGGAACCUAAUUAUAUUGUUUAUCAUUCCACACGUGCAUAAGAGUCUACCACUGAAUCACAUAUUCCAAGAUCAUAGAAGUUAUAACAUAGAAUACAAACUCUCAAGUAUGAAUAUGGAAAUAUAAUAAUAUUAUUGCCUCUAGGGCAUAUUUCCAACAUGUCCCCCCUACACAAGUAUAGAAUUUCGGCAGCAUAUCAUUGCCGGAAGAGUCUAAAAGCGUCGGGGCACAAGCCUAUCCAAGUUGGGCUGAGUUUAAAGAAAACUUCAUGGCCCGUGUGGACAAGGUCAAGCCAAAGUUGACAUGGAAUAGUGUCAAAAACUUUACCAAACCGAACUUGAGGAAUUACCAGCAGAACAUCGCCAAGCUUAUGAAGCACUCAAGCAGAAGCGUCAGGAGUAAUGGCUUCAACCAUAUGUCAAGUCUAUUGCUCCAUGCAGCAAUCAUGUUGGCCCUUCAACAAUGUUGAGGCAAGAAGAAGAAAAAGAAGUCUUGCCAAUUAGAGGAACCAAUGAGAAGAAAAAUGAUUCGGAUAACAAACGUAUUUUGAUUAUUUAAAAGGCCUAAUCAGAUAGUACAUGUGCCAAAUCUAUUCAAAAAAGAGAGGAUGACAAGGCGUUGGGAGUUAUCCAAAAUUAGAGAAAGCUAUUUUUCAUAUCACGCAAACAUCAUGCUUUCCGGACAUAUUUGAAGAGGUAUGUCUAGCAAGUGAUUUACUUGUUUUCCAAAUUGGUCGCAACUUUAUUGUUGACGCAUGAUACGUCCAUUUUGCCUCAUGUUUUCCUACUAUUAUUUGUAAUGUUUUUAUCAUUAUAACACUUUGGGAUGCAAUUCUAAUGCCUUUUCUCUCUUAAUUUGCAAGAUUUACAUGAAGAGGGAGAUUGUGAGCAGCUGGAAUUCUGGACCAAAAAAGCUAUAUCAGAGAUGCCUAUUCUGCACAACCCCAAAUAAGCUGAAACUUCAUGGAGAAUUUUUAUGGAAUAUAUAAAAAUACUGGAGCAAAGAAGUACCAGAGGGGACCCGCCAGCUACCCACAAGCAGUAGGGCACGCCCUAGUGCCUUGUGGGGCCCCUGGCCGGCCUCCGAGGCCCAUCUUCUCCUAUAUGAUGCCAUUUGCCCUAGAAAAAAUCAAGAGAAUACUUUUGGGACGAAGUGUCGCCAUCUCGAGGCGGAACCUAGGCAGGAGCACUUUAGCUCUCCGGCUGAGCGAUUCCGUCGGGGACACUUCCCUCUGGGAGGGGAAAUCGAAGCCAUCGACAUCGCCAACAACUCUCUCAUCGUGCGAGUAUCAAUCUUCAUCAACAUCUUCACCAGCACUAUCUCAUCUCAAACCCUAGUUCAUAUUUUGUAACCAAUCUCUCUCUCAAAACCUCAUAUUGGUACCUGUGGGUUACUAGUAGUGUUGAUUACAUCUUGUAGUUGAUGCUAGUUGGUUUAUUUGUUGGAAGAUUAUAUGUUCAGAUCCUUGAUGAUAUUCGAUACCCCUCUAAUCUUGAACAUGAAUAUGAUUUGUGAGUAGUUACUUUUGUUCUUAAGAAUAUGGGAGAAGUCUUGUCAUAAGUAAUCAUGUGAAUUUGGUAUUCGUUCAAUAUUUUGAUGAUAUCUAUGUUGUUUCUUCCUUUAGUGGUGUCAUGUGAUUGUCGAAUACAUGACACAUCACCAUACUUGGGCCUAAGGGAAGGCAUUGUUGGGUAAUAAGUAGAUCACUGGUUGCUAGAGUGACAGAAGCUUAAACCCUAGUUUAUGCUUAUUUCAUAAGGGGCUGAUUUGGUUCCAUAUGUUUCAUGCUAUGGUUAGAUUUAUCUUAAUUAUUCGUUCAUAGUUGCGGAUGCUUGCGAGAGGGGUUAAUCAUAAGUGGGAGGCUUGUUCAAUUAAGAACAGCACCCAAGCACCGAUCCACACAUAUAUCAAAUUAUCAAAGUAGCGAACGCGAAUCAAAUAAACAUGAUGAAAGUGACUAAAUGAAAUUCCCACGGAUUAUCAUCGCCAAAAUGUUCUUAGGCAACAAAUUGGGCUAUCAUAGGUGACAUUCUGGGCCGUCACCGAAAACGGCCAUCUGUAACAUUAUUUGCUUCGUCACCUAAAAUGCUAUCUUGCGUGACGAAAAAAGUGGUACCAUCAAAAAUUUAUUUUCUAUGACGGUGUUUCGGUGAUGGUGAGGGUGACGGCCGGAAAACAUCACCAGCAUAUUUUCCAUGACAAAAAUGGGUUACACGUGACACAAGUGAUGCGUCGUAAAAUAGAGCAAAUUUUGUAGUGAAGAUUUCUUCCUUUUGCUUCUUCUAAUUAAUGUAGAACUAGAUCAAUUUUAUUAUUCAAACGUAAGUAUUCUUCUUCUAGUUUUUUAUAUUCUCUAAGUAGACUUUCAAAUUUUUGGUCUAAAUUAUCUUGCCUUUUCCCCCAAGAUAUAUAAAAUUUAUGGAUGAGAUCAAUAAUUAAAUUUAGUAGGCUAUGAGAAGUACGCCACAUAUGUUCUUCAGAGGGAUUUAUUCGGCACAUUAUAUUAAUAUUUUCUUUACUAUUUAGUAUCUUACCUGUACUAAAUUCUAAGUUCAAAUACUUUAACCUUUCAAUGCUUAAACACUAGACCUGAUGCCAACAAUACAUGGAUAAUAUGUAUAUAAAUUAAUAUUAUAUCACCUUUUGGUUAGGUUAAUAUGCAAUUAGGUUAAUAUGUUGGAAAUAUGCCCUAGAGGAAAUAAUAUUGUAUUUUUGUAUUUUUGUUAUUCAUAAUUAAGAGUUUAUAUUUCAUGUUAUAACUGUUAUGAUCCUGGAAUAUGUGAUUCAGUGGAAAACUCAUAUGCACGUGUGAAGUGAUAAACGGUAAACAAUAGCUUCCCGGUCUCGCUUCUAAGACCGGCUCAAGCGUUGUUAGUGAUCAUGUUUUCCGGAUCUUAGGAUAUCUUUAAGUGUAACGAUAGUCCUAAAACAACAUUGAGGGUAUGACGUUAGAAAAAUGAACUUGUUGAAUCGACCCAAUACUUGUCUGUUAUACUAUGUGAUCAUAUUGUCUGAAAUCAUCUGUUAUAAGACGGACUUUUAGCAUGUGUUUGAGUUCCUUAGACCAUAAGAGUGUCUCGAUCACUUCCUACCGGUUGGUGGGCUUUGUGGUUGCUCAAACGUCAUCUCUACCAAGGUGAUCAUAACGAAAACUUUCACGCUCACCGGAAAGUUUGACAAGUGACCGGACAGCUCAAGAGUGGGAUUUUCUCCUCCGAUGAUGGAGAGAUAUUCUUAGGGCCCUCUUGGUGUGAAGGCAUCCAUCAUAGUCUAGCCAGACUCAGGUGACUACGUCACAGGGAUGCUGGAACAUGUCAACGAGAAAGAAGAACAAAACCGGUAACGGGAGCAACGGUAUAGUGAGCAUGGUGAUGACUCAAGAGGAUACCGAUGUACACCGGGUUUUGUAAAGUAUCGCGAAGCAAAGGUAACAUCACAUGAUAACCAAAGGUUCACUCGAAUAUCAUUCGUUUAAUCAUAGGGACCAAUAUGGAUGUCCACUGUUCCACUAUCGGUCAUUGAACGAAGGGUUUCGUUCAUGUCUAUGGUUACUGAACCUACGGGGUCACAAGCUUAAGGUAAUCAUGAUCUGCUGAGUGUUAGCAGGAUUGGAGUGAUGAGAAUAUAUUUGUGGAAUUGUUUCUUCAAUAUCCGGAAUAGUACCAAGAGAAGCGUUUCGGGGUCACCGGAAGGGUUUCGAUGAAUAUCGGGUAAUACCGGGUAUUAUUGAUUAAUAUAUAUAUAUGUGUGUGGAAAAUGUUUCCGGAGAUGUUAAAUUAUAUAUAUUAUGCUCUGAAAAUGUUUAGAACAAAAAUAUAUUCAAUUUAAUAUCAACAGGCCAAAUAAGGCCAAGAGGUGAAGGAGUUGGGCUACAAGGGCCCAACAAGGGAGCCCCCCCCCCCUUCCUAAAAGGGGGGCCGAAACCUACUUGGAGGGGGAGUCCUAAUACCCCUCCCUUUGCCGGCACACCAAGGGGGCUCUUUCCCACUUGGUGGAAGCCCCUCCCCCCCCCAAUCGUAUAUAUACUAGAGGAUUUCCACCCUUAUGUGGACACAAGUUUUGAGCCUCCUCUAGUUGAUCUAGUGCAUGUUCUAGUUGGUCCUAGUUGACUAACUAGAGCGAGCCCUAGCCACCUCUGGUCCUCAUAAUUAGAAGCCCUGUGUGGUUCUAAUCUUCUCCCUCUAAUUCUCCGGCGAUGAUUAGCUCUAGACUGUGAAGCGCUGCCGGAUCAUGAAGACCGUACGCUUGCAACCAAGUAGAGAGGAUGUGCUUUUGGUCUUCCGUUCAAGGGAUCAUUCAUGGGCGGUUCGCGGGAUCGUCACCAACAUUCGAGGGACUUCAAGUACGAUUUACACUGAAUCGUCUACUUCCGCUGCACUCCCACAGUCGGUAACGAUCGUUGAUCACAACCCGUUAUGCAUGUUCAUAUUGUUCUUGGGUGUUCAUAGGGGGAAUUUUUUUUGUUUUCUACUAUGUUUCCCAACAGUGGAAUCAUGAGCAGAUUUAUGAGUAGAUGCAGGUUGCGAUCUAGAUCACAUGUGACAUGUGAGGGUUGGUGUUCUUGCUAUGCUUCGAAUGAGUGUUGCUUCGGUUCAAUUCAUCGGCAGAAUGAUGUAGUUUUGCUACAAGGUUCUGACAAUUGAUCGGCUCUGGCUGUCGACGAUCUGCUAACAGUUCCUUGGGCUACAUCAUAGUCGGGAAUAGUGAACCGUCAUGUACACAAGAGGGUGCCAAAGAUGGAUGAUCUUCUUCGGGGUCACGCAUAUUGACGAAGUUUAGUGUGGGGGAUGAGACUUUUAAUUAAGUCUCUCUUUCACACACCCCGAAACUUAAUCUAGCAUCAAGAACAUCGCCUUGUUGCCCUUGCGUAGGUAGCUAGUCUUAAUUGAUAAAACUGGUUAACCUCAUAAUUAAAAUUUGCCAAACCGAUUAGAGGACGUCUAACUUGGUUUUGCAGGGUUUGCAUAUGAUGUGGUAUAGCCUUCGUCAUGAUAAUGAGUUUAUGUAGGAGACGGUUAUAUGUUGUAAUGUUAAGUGGCCUGCACGUCACGGCAUGAUGGCUGGAGACACGAGAUUGCCACCUUAGUGUAAAUAUCGGAGAGAUGGGUUACAGAUGAUGGUGGAAAGACGUACACGGAGGACCCCGACGAGGAGAAGGUAUACCAAGGCGCAGGAGGAGGAGCUAUAAUUUCGUGCCACGGCGGAAUUUCAGAUUUUGGUGCCACAGCAACAUUUUUUGAAUGGGUCGCCAUGGCAACGUUUUCUAAGAUUGCCACCACGACAACAUUUUUGAAAUGCUUGCCACGACAAUGAAAUAUUGGUCGUCACAUUGCUUCAACUGAAGAUUGAAGACAAUCAUGAAGAUCUCCCGGUGCCCAGGGCUAUAGCAUGUCAUGCUAUUAUGAAUUGCCUGAGAUGUUUAUCCCUUUGUUGUUUGCACCCUUUGAUUGCACAGUAGUCAAUUAUUAGGGUGAUCUCUUACAUUAAAUAACAAGUUAAAAGGUGCUCUUCCUAGUGUUGCAACCUUCUAUAACACGUAGCAUUCCGGAGUGCGUCAUGUCCGUAUGAGUACAAAUGGGACGUGAGGUGUAAGACGGGGAUGGUCAGACCAUGUAUGCAGAUAACACUCGGUUGUCUUGAAGUUCUAGAAGAAUUGUUAUGAGCUCGGAGCACAAAGCAUCAAAGGAUGAACAAGAGUCAUAUGUUGAUAUGAUCGGCAAAAGUUUGCCCACCUGUCAAAAUUCUCGUCGUCAGUGAUGUCCACAUCAAUGGUUGAGAACUAGACUUGGAUCUUGAAUCACUCACUAUUAAUUAUGAGAGAUAUUAAUUUGAGUGGGAGUGCACUUAAAUAUAAAAUUGUUUUAAUAAACUAGUGCAAUAUUGAUUAUGAAUUAUGUCUAAAAUUAUUUGUGUUUGUCGUUCUAGAUUAAAUGGCUCGCAAUAUGUUCAACUUAGUCCCUAUGCUUGAGAAAGAAAAGUUGGCUGCAAAUGGUGGAAAGUAUGUGGAUUGGAUCCGCAACCUGAGAUUUGUUCUCGGGAGUGCUAAGAAGGAGUAUGUGCUGGAUCAGCCCCUAGGAGAUGCUCCCUCAACGGAUGCAUCACCAGAAGAAGUUGCUGCUUGUACUACUCGUAGUGAUGACUAUGAAGCAGUCUAGUGUCUCAUGUUAACUUGCAUGGAUCCUGAACUACAGAAGCGUUUUGAACGAUCUACCACUCAAUUUAUAACUGGGUCACUAGAAGUUCUAUUAUAAUGAAGAUAAGGAUCAUUAUGACAAAAGACAAAGUAAUUCUUCAAGAAUGAAGAAAAUAACCUAAGUGAUAAGUUUAAUAAAAACACUCAAAUAAUUAUGGAGUUAUUUAAUAUCGAUCUGCAUUUAUACUUUGGGGAUUGAAAUGGUAGGAUAUGCACUAAACAAAGCACAGCAUAUUAGUCUAGUUAAUGAUACCAUAAGAGUUAUGUAAAUUAUAAACCGGAUAAAAGUUGUAGGAUAUCUUAAAGAAAUGAUUUGGGUUCCUUCUAUUGAAAUUUCAAAAGGCAAAAUGUUUGACACAGAUAAACACUUUUUCAAGAAAAGUUUUUCUUUUCAAAGAAAUAAGUGGGAGGACAUUACAGCUUAGAAAGAAUUAUUGAAUCCCCGGCGGUAAUAAACAGAAUUAAGAAACUGGAAACUGUUCUGAUAGAUUGUCUACAAAAUAAACCGUAAGUUCGUACAUUUGAUGUAGAAAUUCUAUAGCUUGUAACUGGUUUAUACAAAUCGGGAAUAUUGUUGAAUUUUUGAAAUUUUACAAAUGAGAUAUUUCAUAACCCACAAGUAUAGGGGAUCAGUUGUAGCCUCUUUCAAUAAGUAAGAGUGUCAAACCCAACGAGGAGCUAAAGAUAGAACAAAUAUUCCCUCAAGUUCUAUCGACCACCGAUACAACUCUACGCACGCUUAACGUUUGCUUUACCUAGAACAAGUAUGAAACUAGAAGUACUUUGUAGGUGUGAUAGGAUAGGUUUGCAAAAUAAUAAAGAGCACGUAAAUAAAAGCUAGGGGUUGUUUAGAUAAAGAAACAACUAAGUUAGUUUUAGUAGAGAGCUUUUUGUCACAAGAAGGUUAUUCGUCCCUAGGCAAUCGAUAACUAGACCGGUAAUCACUAUUGCAAUUUUAUAUAAGGGAGAGUCAUGAGCUAACAUACUUUCUCUACUUGGAUCAUAUGCACUUAUGAUUGGAACUCUAGCAAGCAUCCGCAACUACUAAAGAUCAUUAAGGUAAAACCCAACCAUAGCAUUAAAGUAUCAAGUCCUCUUUACUCCCAUACGCAAACAACCCCCUUACUCGGGUUUAAGCUUCUGUCACUCUAGCAACCCACUAUAAGAGAAUCAUGAACAUAUUGCAAACCCUAUAGCGAGGAUCCCUCACGCUUGAGCAACACGGAGAGCACCAUAGGAAAGCACCAAUAAUAAAACAUACAACUCAAACCAAUCAUGAUCAUCAGUUAACCCAUAGGACAAAACGGAUCUACUCAAACAUCAUAGGAUAGCCAUACAUCAUUGGGAAAUAAUAUAUAGCGUUGAGCACCAUGUUUAAGUAGAGAUUACAAUAGGGAGAAGAGGUGUUACACUACUGCAUAGAGGGGGAGAGAGUUGGUGGUGACAGCGGUGAAGUUGUUGGUGUAGAUCGUCGGCACGAUGAUGGCCCGAGCGGCGUUUCGGCGCCACCGGGAGAGGGGGGGAGAGAGCCCCCCUCCUUAUUCUUCUUCCUUGACCUUCCCCCUAGAUGGGAGAAGGGUUUCCCCUCUGGUCCAUGGCCUCCAUGGCGGUGGAGGGGCAGGAGCGCCCUCCGAGAUUGGAUCUCUCUCUCUGUUUCUGCGCUGCCUGUUUCUGGCCUUUCACCGUUUCUUAAAUUCCCGGAGAUCCGUUACUCUGAUUGGGCUGAAAUUUUAACACGGUUUUUACCCAGAUAUUAGCCAUCUUGCGGCGAAAGAAGGGCAGCAACCGCCUUACGGGGUGGCCACAAAGGUCUAGGGCACGCCCUACCCCCUGGGGCGCGCCCCCCUGCCUUGUGGCCCCCUCGGGCAUCGUCUCGCGUUGAUUCCACUUCCCAAAAUUCACAUAUAUUCCAAAAAAAUCUCCGUAAGUUUUUCUCCUGUUUGGACUCCGUUUGAUAUGGAUUUUCUGUGAAACAAAAAACAUGCAACAAACAGGAACUGGCACUGGGCACUGGAUCAAUAUGUUAGUCCAAGAAAAUCAUAUAAAAUGUUGCCAAAAGUAUGUAAAAGUUGUUGAAUAUUGGCAUGGAACAAUCAAAAAAUAUAGAUACAACGGAGACGUAUCAGCAUCCCCAAGAUUAAUUCUUGCUCGUCCUCGAGUAGGUAAAUGAUAAAAAAGAUAAUUUUUGAUGUGGAAUUCUACCUAGCAUAAUCUUGAUCAUGUAAUCUAAUCAUGGCAUGAAUAUUAAGACACGAGUGAUUCAAAGCAAUAGUCUAUCAUUUGACAUUAAGAUAAUAAUACUUCAAGCAUACUAAUAAAGCAAUCAUGUCUUCUCAAAAUAACAUGGCCAAACAAAGUUAUCCCUAAAAAAUAUAUAGUCUGGCUAUGCUCCAUCUUCAUCACACAAAGUAUUUCAUCAUGCACAACCCUAAUGACAAGCCAAGCAAUUGUUUCAUACUUUUAAUGUUCUCGAGCCUUUUCAACUUUCAUGCAAUACAUGAGCGUGAACCAUGGAUAUAGCACUAUAGGUGGAAUAGAAUAUGAUGGUGGAGGUUGUGUGGAGAAGACAAAAAGGAAGAAAGUCUCACAUCGACGCGGCUAAUCAACGGGCUAUGGAGAUGCCCAUAAAUUGAUGUCAAUGCGAGGAGUAGGGAUUGCCAUGCAAUGGAUGCACUAAGAGCUAUAAGUGUAUGAAAGCUAAAACUAAAAACUAAGUGGGUGUGCAUCCAACUUGCUUGCUCAUGAAGACCUCGGGCAUUUGAGGAAGCCCAUCAUCGGAAUAUACAAGCCAAGUUCUAUAAUGAAAAAUUCCCACUAGUAUAUGAAAGUCUCAGGAGACUCUCUAUAUGAAAACAUGGUGCUACUUUGAAGCAAAAGUGUGGUAAAAGGAUAGUAACAUUGCCCCUUCUCUCUUUUUCUCCCAUUUUAUAUAUUUUCUAUUAUUUUCUCCCUUUUUGGGCUCUUUGGCCUCAUUUUUUUAAGUCUGGAGAAUCAUCCCAACUUGUGAGGGAAUCAUAGCUUCCAUCAUCCUUUCAUCACAUGGGACAAUGCUCUAAUAAUGAUGAUCAUCACACUUUUAUUUACUUACAACUCGAUACUAGAACAAAGAUAUGACUAUGUGAAUGCCUCCGACGGUGUACCGGGAUGUGCAAUGAUCUAGCGCAGCAAAGAUAUCAAAAAAUGGACAAGCCAUGAAAACAUCAUGCAAAGCAAUAUGACAAUGAACGCACAAGUCAUGUAUAUGAUGAUGAUGGAAGUUGCAUGGCAAUAUAUCUCGGAAUGGCUAUGGAAAUGCCAUAAUAAGUAGGUAUGGUGGCUGUUUUGAGGAAGAUAUAAGGAGGCUUAUGUGUGAUAGAGUGUAUCAUAUCACGGGGUUUGGAUGCAUCGGCGAAGUUUGCACCAACUCUCGAGGUGAGAUAGGGCAAUGCACGCUACCGAAGAGGCUAGCAAUGAUGGAAGGGUGAGAGUGCGUAUAAUCCAUGGACUCAACAUUAGUCAUAAAGAACUCACAUACUUAUUGCAAAAAUUUAUUAGCUACUGAAACAAAGUACUACACGCAUCCUCCUAGGGGGAUAUAUUGGUAGGAAAAGACCAUCACUCGCCCCCGGCCGCCACUCGUAAGGAAGACAAUCAAAAACAAAUCAUGCUCCGACUUCAUCACAUAACGGUUCAUCAUAUGUGCAUGCUUCGGGAAUCACAAACCUUAAGACAAGUAUUUCUACCAGUCCACAAUUACUCACAAGCAUGACUCUAAUAUCACCAUCUUUAUAUCGAAAAACUAUUGCAAGGAAUCAAACAUAUCAUAUUCAGUGAUGUACAAGUUUUAUGUAGGAUAUUAUGACUAACCAUGUGAAUGACCAAUUCCUGUCAACUCUCUAAAUAGAUAUAAGCAAAGCAUGAUAGUUUAAUUCUUUCUACAAAAGAGAUGCCCACGCUCUAACAAAUAUAAGUGAAGCAAAAGAGCAUUCUACAAAUGGCGGUUUUCUAUGUGUAGAGAAACAAGCAAUCAAAACUUCAAAUGAUAUAAGCGAAGCACAUGAAGCAUUCUAUAAAGCCAUACUCAAAAGAUAUAAGUGAAGUGUUUGAAGCAUUCUAUAAAUCAAGCAAGGACUAUCUCAUACCAGCAUAGUGCAUUAUUAAAAGGAAAAUAAAAACCACACGAUGCUCCAAGAUUUACGUAUAUCGUGUAACGAAUAAAAAUAUAGCACCAAGUAAAAUUACCGAUGACCGUUAGAAGAAAGAGGGGAUGCCUUCCGGGGCAUCCCCAAGCUUAGCUUCUUGGGAGUCCUUGAAUAUUACCUUGGGGCGCCUCGGGCAUCCACAAGCUUAGGUUCUUGCCACUCCUUAUUCCUUCAUCCAUCAUGAUCUCACCCAAAACUUCAAAACUUCAAUCACACAAAACUUAACAAAACCCUCAUGGGAUCCGUUAGUAUAAUAAAGCAAAUCACCACUUCAAGUAUUGUUGCAAACCCAUUCAUAUUUUGUUUUUGCAUUGUAUCUAUUGUAUUAUAACUUCUCUAUGGCUUAUACCCCCGAUAAAAUCGAUAGUUUCAUCAAAACUAGCAAACAAUGCAUCAAAAACAGAAUCCGUCUUAAACAGGACAGUCUGUAGUAAUCUGAACAUCUGCCAUACUUCUGUAACUCCAAAAAUUCUGAAACAUUAGGAAAAAAUGAACAAUUUGUAUAGCAGUACUGUGCAGAAAGUUUCAAAAGCUUUUGACGUUCUGGUAAAAAAAUCACGCACUACAGCCAAAGUUUCUGUUUUUCCACUACACAUACAAAACAAGCAAUCUAAUCAUCCUAAAGGAAAAUCUUGGCACAUUAUUUUUAUAAUACAAUGGAUUUGUACAAGGGGAUAAUUAUUUUUGUUGAAAAGUUUCUGUAAUCGAGAUGCACAAAGUUUCCAUGGGCAUGAACAAAGUUCAAGGACGUACCCCACUUCAACGGUGUUCGUCUUUCUCACUUUCACUUUUCUUUUUGAAAAGGUUUUAGGUUCCCCACUUUAUUUUUUUUUGUUUUUAAAUUUUAUAAAAGCACACAACAGAAUAAAAUGACUCUCUAAAACUUCCGGGUUGUCUCCCUUGCAGCACUUUUUCUUUAAAGCCAUUAAUCUAGGCAUAUAGUGCUCAAGUAAUGGAUCCACCCGGAUCCCAAGGUAUAUCAAAGCCAAUUUUAAUUAACAAUGAUUUGUGAUUUAGUAGUGAGCACAAAGUAACAUAUAUCAUGCAACAACAAAGUCUAACUCUCUUCCUAUGCAUCGACAUGUCAUAAACGAACAAUGCAUGCACAUUAAGUAAAGGCCAAUACAUAGCAUAAGCAAUUUCUUGCAAUUUUAUUGUGUUGGAAACAUAGAGAGGCGGAGAUGUAGUUCCUCUCUCAUACUAAUUGCUAGUAGGAGCAGCAAGCACAUGCAUAUUAUAUUUAUCAAAAUCAUCAUGUGCAAUAGUAGAACGCAACCCAUCAAUAUAAUCCUUAAUAAGCGCCAACUUCUCUGAUAUAGUGUAGUUGGGAGAAUUCAAAAAGAUAAUAGGACUAUCAUGCGUGGGUGCAAUAGCAACAAUUUCAUUUCUAACAUAAGGAACUAUAGCAAGUUCAUCUCCAUAAGCAUAAUUCAUAUUGGCAUCAAGGCCACAAGCAUAGCAAGAAUCAAAUUCAUCAAAAAGGGAUAUUUCAAACAAAUCCAACGGAUCAUAGUAAUUAUCAUAGCAUUCAUCCUUCGGUAAGCAUGAAGGGAAAUUAAACAAUGUAUGAGUUGAAGAGUUAAUAUCGUUAGAAGGUGGGCACGGGUAGCUAAUCCACUCUUCCUCCUUUUGUUCUUCGCUCUCCUCCUCAUCUUUUUCAUCCAAUGAGCUCACAGUUUCAGCAAUUUCUCCUUCCACAGUUUCCUGCAAAUAUUAGUCUCUUCUUGGAUAGCGGAGACUUUCUCAAUAAAUGCAUCUAUAUCGGCAUUGUAUUCAUAAUUCUCAUAGCAAUAUUUAAGUAUAGCAUAAUUUUCAAAUCUAUAAACAUCAUCAUCGAAAGCUUCAUACUUUUGAAACAAAGAUUCUAUUUCAUAAGCACCCUUAAAAGCAACGAAUUCUUCUAUUCGUUCCACAUCAUAGUAAUCGUAUAUAACAUUAGCAUAAGAAGCCAAGGUUUCAUUAUCAUUAAAUUUACAUGAAAAGGGAAGGUGUGGAGACUUCAUCCUAGAGCAACAAGUAAAAUCAUAUCUCUGGCAUAAAUUCGAAGCAUACCAAUGCAACAUAUCAAUUUGAUCCCAUAACAGUUUCCCUUUUUGUGUCAAGCGAUAAUCCCUAAAGUAUUCACGUUGAUCCAACGUGUCUCCCAAUAUCAAGUUGAACGGGGUUUUCUCAGGAUUAUCAAAGUACUGCUUAAUAUUUUUCACAUAACGAGCAUCGCGGGUUUUAGGAGGUUCCCCAUCUCCAUGAGUAGCAAGUACACCUAACUUUUUUGGUAUUUCAUGUUCCAUGUCCAUAACUAAAGAUAGAGAACAACUUAGAACAGCAAAUAAAAACUACUUAGUGAUAAAGCAAACAAGCACACACGAGAAUAUUCACCCCACGCUAUUGCUCCCCGGCAACGGCGCCGGAAAAUAGCCUUGAUAACCCACAAGUAUAGGGGAUCAGUUGUAGCCUCUUUCGAUAAGUAAGUGUGUCAAACCCAACGAGGAGCUAAAGGUAGAACAAAUAUUCCCUCAAGUUCUAUCGACCACCGAUACAACUCUACGCACGCUUAACGUUCGCUUUACCUAGAACAAGUAUGAAACUAGAAGUACUUUGUAGGUGUGAUAGGAUAGGUUUGCAAAAUAAUAAAGAGCACAUAAAUAAAAGCUAGGGUUGUUUAGAUAAAGAAACAACUAAGUUAGUUUUAGUAGAGAGAUUUUUGUCACAAGAAGGUUAUUUUUCCCUAGGCAAUCGAUAACUAGACCGGUAAUCACUAUUGCAAUUUUAUAUGAGGGAGAGGCAUAAGCUAACAUACUUUCUCUACUUGGAUCAUAUGCACUUAUGAUUGGAACUCUAGCAAGCAUCCACAACUACUAAAGAUCAUUAAGGUAAAACCCAACCAUAGUUUUAAAGUAUCAAGUCCUCUUUACUCCCAUACGCAAACAACCCCCUUACUUGGGUUUAAGCUUCUGUCACUCUAGCAACCCACUAUAAGUGAAUCAUGAACAUAUUGCAAACCCUAUGGCAGGGAUCCCUCACGCUUGCGUGACACGGAAGCACCAUAGGAUAGCACCAAUAAUUAAACAUACAACUCAAACCAAUCACGAUCAUCAAUUAACCCAUAGGACAAAACGGAUCUACUCAAACAUCAUAGGAUAGCCAUACAUCAUUGGGAAAUAAUAUAUAGCGUUGAGCACCAUGUUUAAGUAGAGAUUACAAUAGGGAGAAGAGGUGUUACAAUGCUGCAUAGAGGGGGAGAGAGUUGGUGGUGACAGCGGUGAAGUUGUUGGUGUAGAUCGUCGGCAUGAUGAUGGCCCCAGCGGCGUUUCGGCGCCACCGGGGAGGGGAGAGAGAGCCCCCUCCUUAUUCUUCUUCCUUGACCUCCCCCCCCCCUUAUUCUACUCAAACAUGAUAGGAUAGCCAUACAUCAUUGGAAAAUAAUAUAUAUAGCAUUGAGNNNNNNNNNNNNNNNNNNNNNNNNNNNNNNNNNNNNNNNNNNNNNNNNNNNNNNNNNNNNNNNNNNNNNNNNNNNNNNNNNNNNNNNNNNNNNNNNNNNNNNNNNNNNNNNNNNNNNNNNNNNNNNNNNNNNNNNNNNNNNNNNNNNNNNNNNNNNNNNNNNNNNNNNNNNNNNNNNNNNNNNNNNNNNNNNNNNNNNNNNNNNNNNNNNNNNNNNNNNNNNNNNNNNNNNNNNNNNNNNNNNNNNNNNNNNNNNNNNNNNNNNNNNNNNNNNNNNNNNNNNNNNNNNNNNNNNNNNNNNNNNNNNNNNNNNNNNNNNNNUUCUUCCUUGACCUUCCCCUAGAUGGUAGAAGGGUUUCCCCUCGGUCCAUGGCCUCCAUGGCGGCGAGGGGCGGGAGCCCCUCCAAGAUUGGAUCUCUCUCUGUGUGUGUUUCCUUCUGUUUCUGCAGUGCCUGUUUCUGGCCUUUCACCGUUUCUUAAAUUCCCGGAGAUCCGUAACUCCAAUUGGGCUGAAAUUUUAACACGAUUUUUAUCUGGAUAUUAGCUUUAUUGCUGCAAAAUAAGGGCACCAACCGCCUUAUGGGGUGGCCACAAGGGUCCAGUGCGCGCCCUACCCCCUAGGGCGCGCCCCCUGCCUUGUGGCCCCCUCGGGCAUCGUUUCGCGUUGAUUCCACUUCCCAAAAUUCACAUAUAUUCCAGAAAAACCUCCGUAAGUUUUUAUCCCGUUUGGAAUCUGUUUGAUAUGGAUUUUCUGCGAAACAAAAACAUGCCACAAAUAGGAACUGGCACUGGGCACUGGAUCAAUAUGUUAGUCCAAGAAAAUCAUUUGAACUGUUGCCAAAAGUAUGUAAAAGUUGUAGAAUAUUGGCAUGGAACAAUAAAAAAUUAUGGAUACGACGGAGACGUAUCAAUAUUCAUCUUGGAAAGAAGAUGAACUAGCACAUUACAAGGAAACAAUAGCGGUGCCCAGCUCAAAGGAAUGGUUCAUAGCCAUGCACACCGGAAUAAAUUUACAAUUAAGUUUCAAACUUUAUUGUAAUUGUCAUAAAUAAAACAAGUUUGGAACUUGGUUGAUACUUCAAAGAUUUUUGAAGAAAGUGGAUAUUAAAACUAAGUUUCCUAAAAGGAAAGGAUGUAUGAAUGAUACAACCAGAAAGGUUUUUAAAUCCUCAAAGACACCGGAUAAAAGUGCAAACUUCAAAAGAGUUUUUGAAGAUUAUAAGAAGUGAGCUGAUAUUGAGAUUUUGAUCUUAUCAAAGGAACCUUGUGUAUAUAAAUAACUCAGUGGGAGCUAUAUAUAGUAUAUUUGAUCUCAUAUGUUUGAAUGGAAAUAAUAUAACUUCCAAAAAAAAUGAAACAUGUUUUCAUCAAAUAACAAGGAAAAAUAUUGGGCAUAAAAGAAUCUGUAAAGAUAUAUCAAUAUGUCUGAUUGAGCUUAAGAGUUUAUAUAUUUUAACAAAAAGGUUUAGAGUGUUUAAAUAGAGAAAUUGUUUCUCUCAGUGUCAUAUAACUAGAUGCUUAUAUGCAUAAGUAGUUGAAAGUAAUUCAUAUUGAUAGUUAUAAUAUAUAUGAUAAGGGCCAAGAGUUUUACUAAGUGUUAGUAACAGAUGUCAAGGAUCUCAAAAGAAUAAAUUGUAUUAUUUUGAGCAUAUGAAGUUAAAAUUCCAUUAUUGAGAAUAUAUGAAUAUCAAAUUCAUGAUUUAUAUAAUUAGGGCUAUGAUAAGUUUAUUUUAUGAACAAUACUGAUUCUAUAAUGAUAAUUUGUGUUUUUGAAAACAUUAGAUGUUUCAGUGUUGUCUGAAUCAAGAAGAGUCUUGAUAUAAAAGGGUAGAUCCAAUAAUCAAGAAAUGUCUUGAUAUAAUUGGAUAUUACAAAAUUUGUAAAGAACCGCAUUAACAAUAUAUUGAGAAUAUGGCCAAUCCAGAAGAGUCUCGAUAUAAAUGGGUAAAAUUCAAUAAUCAAGAAAUAUCUUGAUAUAAUUGGAUAUUACAAAAGUUGUAAGAAACCCAUAAAAAUUAUGAAUAAUGGACAAUCAAGAAGAGUCUUGAUAUGAAAGGGUAGAUCCAGUAAUCAAGAAAUGUCUUGAUAUAAUUGGGUAUAUUGUAAAAGUUGUAAUAAGCCCGUAAACAUUAUAUUAUGAAUAUAGUCGGUCAAGAAGAACCUCAAUAUAAAUGGAUGAAUCUGAAAGAUGAUUCUAAUGCAAUGAGUCUAAAUGAUAUUUUAUUUUGAAUAAACUAUUAUAGCUCAAAGCAAGGUGGAUUGAUAUCCUGCAAACAGACAAAACUGACACAAAUAUUUCUGAGUUCCGAAUAUGUCAAAAUAAAUGACAAAAGCUCUACCACAAGCAAAGCAUAAGCAACACCAGAAUACCCAUAGGUGUUUGUAAAACCAUGCAACUAGAUUAUUGACUCUACUGCAAGUGGGAGACUGUUGGAAAUAUGCCAUAGAUGCCAUAAUAUUGUAUUAUUAUAUUUUCAUUAUUCAUAAUUUAGAGUUUAUAUUUCAUGCUAUAACUGUUAUGAUCCUGGAAUAUGCAAUUCAGUGGAAAACUCAUAUGCACGUGUGAAAUGAUAAACGUUAAACAAUAGGUUCCCGGUCUCACCUCUAAGACCGGCUCAACUGUUGUUAGUGAUCAUGUUUUCCGAAUCUUUGGACAUCGUUAAGUGUAACAAUAGUCCUAAAACAACAUUGAGGGUAUGACGUUAGAAGAACGAUCAUGUUGAAAUGACCUAAUACGUGGCUGUUAUAUUGUGUGAUCAUAUCAUCUGAAAUCAUCUGUUAUAAGAUGGAGUGUUAGCGUGUGUUUUAGUUCCUCAGACCAUGAGAGUAUCUCGGUCAUUUCCUACCGGAUGGUGGGCUUUGUGAUUGCUCAAACGUCAUCUCUAACAAGGUGAUCAUAACGACAACUUCCAGGCUCACCGAAAAGUUUGACAAGUGGUCGGACAACUCAAGAGUGGGAUUUGCUCCUUCGGCGAUGGAGAGAUAUUCUUAGGGCCCUCUCGGUGUGAAGGUAUCCAUCAUCGUCUGGCUAGACACAGGUGACAACAUCACAGGGAUGGCGGAACAUGUCAACGAGAAAGAAGAACAUAACCGGUAACGGGAGCAACGGUAUAGUGAGCAUGUUGAUGACUCAAGAGGAUACCGAUGUACACCGGGUUUUGUAAAGUAUCACGAAGCAAAGGGAACAUCACAUGAUAACCAAAGGUUCACUCGAAUAUCAUUCUUGUAAUCAUGGGGACCAAUAUGGAUGUCCACGGUUCCGCUAUCGGUCAUUAAACGAAGGGGUUUCGUUCAUGUCUAUGGUUACCGAACCUACGGGGUCACAAGCUUAAGGUAAUCAUGGUCUGCUGAGUGUUAGUAGGAUGGGAGUGAUGAGAAUAUAUUUGUGGAAUUUUUUCAUUAAUAUACGGAAUAGUUCUGAUAGGUUCCGGAAGCGUUUCGGGGUAACCGUAAGGGUUUUGGUGAAUAUCAGGUAAUACCGGGUAUUACCGAUUAAUAUAUAUAGGUGGAAAAUGUUUUCGGAUAUGUUAAAUUAUAUAUAUUAUGCUCUGAAAAAAUUUAGAACAAACAUAUAUUUAAUUUAAUAUCAACGGGCCAAAUAAGGCCAAGAGGUGGAGAAGGAGUUUGGCCACAAGGGCCCAACAAGGGAGCCCCCCCCCCUUCCUAAAAGGGGUGCCUAAUCCUACUUGGAGGGGGCGUCCUACUCCCCCUCCCUUGGCCAGCGCCCCAAGGGGUCUCUUUCCACCUUGGUGGCAGCCCCUCUCCCCCCCCCAAUCCUAUAUAUACUGGAGGAUUUCCACCCUUAUGUGGACACAAGUUUUGAGCCUCCUCUAGUUGAUCUAGUGCACGUUCUAGUUGGUCCUAGUUGACUAAUUAGAGCGAGCCCUAGACACCUCUAAUCCUCAUAAUUAGAAUCCCGUGUGGUUCUAAUAUUCUCCCUCUAAUUAUCCGGCGAUGAUUAGCUCUGGACGGCGAAGCGCUGCCGGAUCAUGAAGACUAUACGCUUGCAACCAAGUACAGAGGUCGUGCUUUCGGUCUUCCAUUCGAGGGAUCGUUCGUGGGCGGUUCGCGGGAUCGUCAUCAAUGUUCAAGGGACUUCAAGUACGAUCUACACCUACUUGCCUACUUCCGCUGCACUCCCAGAGUCGAUAACGAUUGUUGAUCACAACCCGUUAUGCAUCUUCAUAUUGUUCUUGGGCGUUCAUAGGGCGAAAAACAAUUGUUUUCUACUAUGUUUCCCAACAUAAUAUGCAAUUAGGCUAAUAUGCGAUUAGGUUAGCAUGCAAUUAAGCUAAUAUGCAAUUAGGGUAAUAUACUAUUAGGCUAAUAUUUUGUUCACUGAAAUAUUUAAUUCUUUGUUAUUGUUUGCAAAGUCUAUUCUUUAAGCUGGUUAUAUCUUAUUGCGGGAUCUAUUAAGGGUUGGUGAGGCCAACAGUACAACCGGUGGUGUGCGCAGUGGUGUGAUAUCCUACUCAGUGCUCACCAUAUUUUUCAUUAUUUGUAUCAAAUGUAGCUAGGUUCGUUCACUUGAUGUUUUUAAAUACAAAUUCGUGGGGUAAAUUCUUAUCAUCUUCCCAAGCAGUUCCACCCGAAGGGAACACUUCUCUAUGGCCAUAAGGUUCUCAUUCAAACGUCACACAAGGCUAAAUAGAGAACUACCGGCAGAGGAUUCUACUAUAGGAUCCCUAGCAUAAGAACACGUCCCAUAAAUUCAUAAAUAAAAAUACAAAGUGAAGCAUGAAACUACUUCAUUUCAACAACAUAAUUUACAUAUUGUUUUCCCUUUCGGGAGGCCCCAAAGGGAUUACACAAACUAAAAAGGAUACCUUAUUCUUCUUGGCGAUUACAACACCUUCGAUAUGGUGGCUAUUCUACAAGCGGUGGUGGUACUACUACUACUACUACUACUACUACUAAGGUGAGAGUGCUCUGGAGGUUGUCCUACUAGAAUACAGAGAAUUUGCAUGCCAAUUUAUAGAUAACAUGUCCUCAUGGCUAAUUAAUUGUACAUGAUCCAAAUCAGGUUUAUUCUCGAGUCACAUGGUUCUUUCUCAUCAACAAUUAAUUCAAUGGGUCCACUCAAAAUUGUUGAUAUUUAAAUUGUUUCAUCAAAUGGCACAUUCAUAAUAGUAAAACGAUUCUCAAAAUAGGUGGUGUGCUCAAAUCAACACGUAACACAACACAUGAUGUAUUCAAGUCAACUAGCCAUGCAUCAUUCUCAUGUGAAGUUAUGUCAUCAAUACCUUUACUGUUACCUUGUCGCAACGAUGUAGCUGAUGUAGGUACGGACGAUGGCAAUGUACCAUACACUUGAGAUGAUGUCGUGCUCACAAUCUGAGGUGUGGCUGCUCUAGCAGGUGCAACGGUGGAGGAAACAACCGGUGGUGGUGAGCAUGAACUUGAAUAGUAGUUGUUCUAAUCACCCAAUGGAUCCUCCUAUAUCUGUCUCUCAAAGGUACAAGCGCGAACAUACAUACCAGUAAUGCAACGGGGAAUAUACUGAAAUCUUGCGCGAAUUUCAUGGUUCAAACCACCAAAAAAUCUAUUCAUUGUAUCAUCCUUAGAUUCUUCUUUGUCACAGUGAUGCAUAUAAGAUUUGAAUCCUGAUAGUAAGCAUUAACGGUUUUCUUGUCUUUUUCUAGUUGUUCCAAUUUGCGAAGCAAUUCACGACGAUAGUAGAAGGAAAAAAUUGUUGUCUCAUUACAGCUUUCAAAUUUUUCCAAGUUUUAGGUUGAUUAUCAAUGUUUUUUACGACACAUACUCCACCAGAUGGAAGCAAAACCCAACAAAUUCUCAAGUGGAAACUCGUACCUUCUCAAGUUCAUAAAAAUCAUGGCUAGUAAAAAGUUGUUCUACCUCAAGCUCCCAAUCAAGAUAAAUAGCGGGAUUAAAUCUAGCCUGAAAAGGCGGUAGAGAAAUAACCUGACCAUAUGCUUGUGUGUGUGGUCGCACCUCUCGCGGUGGUGAAGAUGUGCCCGUCGUCCAAGAACUUCUAACUCUGGAACCUCUCAUGAUUAGUAUAAACAAUAAAUGAAAUCCGAGGAUAAUGUUCCUAUUAACUACACGGAUGUGGUGAUAAAUGCUCACAGCAUAGAAUAUCAAUGUCUUACAAGUUCUUACCAUGCAGCAGGUGGCGACCGACAACCAGCGGUAUCAAAACUCCAAAGAUUGGGUAAAGCGGUUGCCAGGUGAAUGUAGGUAUGCACGUUGUACAAAUAUGUGGAGCUUAGAAGGCUUAAAUAUAUGGUGUCAAAAGGUUAGCAAUAAUCAAUUCAAAGAUGCAAUGUUGAAUAUGUGAUCAACGAGAUACUGUGUUGGUCCUAGGCUAGACCGUACUACAGACACGAUCCUAGAACACUAAUGGGGCCACGGCAUUGCACAAGUAGGAGCAACAAAUAAUAUGAAGUAUCUCUGAAUAGAAGAUAUAAGUGAAGAUCAAAAGGCAUAAAGAGAAUGAUGAGAAAUAAGCUCCAAGCAGGAUAUACCAAGCACUCUCUCUUCAACUUUCCCCUAGAAAACUUCAUGCUAAUUUUUUUGAUAUAUUUUCUUAGGAAAUAUAUUGACUCAAGCUUUCCAAGGCAAAAAAGAAUCACUCAAUUUCGAGUUCAUAUGAGGGGUCAAAAAAUUUGGGAAGUGGCCUGAAAACAGUGAGAAACUGUGUUUGCAAACUUCGGAUGGCAAAAGUCCUAUUUACAAGCCGAUUUGGAAGUGAAAAUACUAAACAAGCUUCAUGAACUAUUCAAACGCGGCUCGUCGAUAGCUUGAAUUUGAGUACUUGUGGAGCCAAAACGGAGUUCGUAUGUGGAAGAUAUGCCUGUUUUACUAAACACUGCGCAAAACAUAUUCCAAUCUGAAUUCAGGUACGAUAUUGAGUCUAGAUAGAUCCAAAUUUUGUCUCUUUUUUUCUUCUCUCUUUUUUUCUCACUUUUUCCUUUUUUUCCUUCUCUCUUUUUUUUCUCACUUGUUUUUUACUUUUCUCUCUCUCAUUUUUUUGUCUUUCUAAAACAAACCAGAUAAGAUGCAUAUUGGAUCAAGCGAAGAUGUGAACGACCUUAAGUAUGAUUAUGACAAUGAAUGAUGGGGAGCAUGUGGUGGAAACUGAUUAAUGGUGGUGGUCGACAGCGCAAGGGAUGAUGAUGCAGUGACUUGCAUCAUGUUUACCUACUGUUAUUUAUAAUGUUUUUAUGCAUAAUAAUGCUUUUUGGAGUAAUUCUAAUGGCUUUCCCUCAUAAUAUGCAAGGUACACACAAAGAGGGAGAAUUCCGGUAGCUGGAUAUCUUGGACCUGGAAAAGCUACGUCCGGCCACCUAUUCUGCACAACUCCAAAUGAGCUAAAACUUCACGAGGAUUUUUUAUGGAAUAAAUAAGAAAUACUGAAGCAAAUAACCACUGGAGGGGGGUACCUGGUGAGCACAAGACACCAGGGCGCGCCUGGCCCCCCAGGCGCGCCCUGGUGGGUUGUGCUCAGCCCAGCCCACCUCCGGUGCCCAUCUUCUAGUAUAUAAGUCAUUUUGACCUAGAAAAAAUAAGGGGAGGAAUUUCGGGAUGGAACACCGCCGUCUCGAGGCGGAACUUGGGCAGGAGCACUUUUGCCCUCCGGCGGAGCGAUUCCACCGGGGGAACUUCCCUCCCGGGGGAAAUCAUCGUCAUCAUCAUCACCAACAACUCUCCCAUCUUGGGGAGGGCAAUCUCCAUCAACAUCUUCAACAGCACCAUCUCCUCUCAAACCCUAGUUCAUCUCUUCUGUUCAAUCUUGUACCGAAACUAUAUAUUGGUGCUUGUGGGUGACUAGUAGUGUUGAUUACAUCUUGUAGUUGAUUACUAUAUGGUUUAUUUGGUGGAAGAUUAUAUGUUCAGAUCCAAUAUGCUAUUUAAUACCCCUCUGAUCUUGAGCAUGAUUAUCAUUUGUGAGUAGUUACUUUUGUUCUUGAGGUCUCGGGAGAAAUCAUGUUGCAAGUAAUCAUGUGAACUUGAUAUGCGUUCGAUAUUUUGAUACUAUGUAUGUUGUGAUUCCCUUAGUGGUGUCAUGUGAACGUCGACUACAUGACACUUCACCAUAUUUGGGCCCAAGGGAAUGCAUUAUGGAGUAGUUAUUAGAUGAUGGGUUUUGAGAGUGACAGAAGCUUAAACCCUAGUUUAUGCGCUAUUCCGUAAGGGACCAAUUGGAUCCAAAAGUUUAAUGCUAUGGUUAGAAUUUAUUCUUAAUACUUUUCUCAUAGCUGCGGACACUUGCGAGGGGGUUAAUCAUAAGUAGGAGGUUUGUUCAAGUAAGAACAGCACCUAAGCACUGGUCCACCCACAUAUCAAAUUAUCAAAGUAGCGAACACAAAUCGAAUCAACAUGAUGAAAGUGACUAGAUGAAAUUCCCGUGUACCCUCAAGAAUGCUUUGCUUAUCAUAAGAGACCGUUUUGGCCUGUCCUUUGCCUCAAAAGGAUUGGGCUACCUUGCUGCACUUUUGUUACCGUUACUUGCUCGUUACAAAUUAUCUUGCUAUCAAACUACUCUGCUACUUACAAUUUCAGCACUUGCAGACAUUACCGUGCUGAAAACCACUUGUCAUUUCCUUCUGCUCCUCGUUGGGUUGGACACUCUUACUUAUCGAAAAGGCUACAACUGAUCCCAUAUGCUUGUGGGUCAUCACGGCGUGACUAAUAUGAACAUAACUCGAAACUCUAAAGGAACUAGACACUGAGAGCGGCAACUCGACACGAUGAUUGAGCCAAUAAUUCAACUAUGCAAGCACUAAAAGGAAAAUUGCAAAGGCUCGGGCUGGCUUGGACAAAGGAUGAACAGAUCUAACAUUUUUCUGGCUUUUGCUUGUACAAUAGGUAAGAAAAUAAAUGUAAUCAAGGAAUAACUGAAAUUCUCACCAAGAAACCUGAAAACUGAUACCACUUGAUAGAGUCAAGGGUCCUGAUCUUUUGGUGAGAUGGUAACUAUCGAUUUGGUGGAGAACAACUUUGACGAUCAGGCUACAAACAUGCACGAUGUUGCAUCUUAGCAAUAGCUAAACUAAUUUCCUAAGGUUACUAACAAUGUCGGAAGCACGAUCAUCCUGACCACAAAGGUCUAUUCCUGCACGCAAUCGAAGAACGGGCAAAAAUAUGAUAAAAGCAAUCUGAAUAUUGUGAAUAUAGAUGAAGUAUUGAUAAAAGUGGGGAUCCGAAAGCGGUCUUGACCUGGUUGAUGGACACAAAUGAAGUACACGAAGUUGUAAUGGCUAAAUUUUACCUAAACAAAUCCCAAAGAAAACGGUACUAGAUUGAUCUACUCAUAUAGGAGCAAGGGGUGGCGGCCAAUGAGGUGGGAGGUCAUACAAGGCCCAUGGGCCCAAGUGGAGGUGACGCAACACCUUUUGACUUGUAGUUUGCCUCGAAUUCUGGUGCGACAUUGGACCGUUUCGGUAAUAUCUCCACACUCUGGAGGAAUUUGAAGGCGAUUCCAAUUGUGCUGGAAAGUGCACGAGAUAAGCAUUCCAACAAAACAGAUUCACCCUAUUCGGACUCCGAAUGCAAAAAAUGGAGCAGUUUGGCUCGGUCUUCUCUUGGGUCAAAGUGACAUGAAAGGACUUCUUGAACAUCACCUAAUCCUUUCCUUUUCCUUUAUCGUCACACAAGUUUUAUACAAUUGUCCCAUAAACCUACAAUUAGAGAUGGCACAAAUGUUGGUGAAGUAUUUUUGUCCUGGAUAACAUAAAUAAAUUAUUGCAAGGUUUGUAUUAGGAAUCACCUCACAAAUAUGCAUGUAUGAAAUAUUUUUGGCCGUAUCCAAGGUAGUCACGUCCUCAUCAAAUCCAAGGAUGGAUGUAUUGUAAGUUGCAUCAUUCGUCCAAGCAUAAUUUUGAGGAUUGCAACAUGUUUCAUCAAAUAGUUAAAUCGGCCAUUAGUAAAGGACGAUUGAAAUUUGUUGAGACACCAAGAGAUGACCAGUCUACUCUGAUUGGUCCUGAUGGCAAACAGUUUUUGCAUCGUCUGCUUCAAGAUGAUUCAUUUAAACAUGAGAAGGUAAAAAGUGUGGAUAAUGGGAUCAAGCCUUCAAGUAAGGAAGUUGUUCGAGAGCACAAUGAUAAUAUUCUUGAGGGCAAAAAUUCCAUGGAAGUUGCAAUGAAGAUCCCAAGUACUGGGAGGCAACAAGAAUGUCCAAAAAUCGAUGCAAGCACAACCAAAGAAAGAAAAGGCCAAGGUAAGCACCUAGGUAAAAAGCUGAAAAUCACUUUCGCGUAGCUAUUGGAAAAAUAUCAAAAGGUAAGUAAGGAGAAGAUUGCUUAUUGUCCAAGUAAUUCAAAAGCAUCAAGAUCGUCCCCUAGGCUCAAAUCUGAGGACCGGUAUUGGCAAAGCGGAAAUUUCAAUGCAUGAUAUGUGUAUCCGUAUUUUGGGCCGCCAAUGCCAAUGCCAUUGAUACCUCCUUAUGCUAACUUUCAUUCAUAUUCAUCAUGGGACAGGUAUGAUUCAAGUGUUAAAUUCUCCAUAUUAUUUUAGGUCAUCUCACAAAGAUCAUGCAGCUCCAAAAAUACCCACAUUCAAUAAACAAUCAUAUGUUAAAGACCGUUUCACUCAAAAAGAAUCGGCCUGGAGCACAAGGAAGAAUAAGGAGGUGGUUGAGCAAGUCUAUCGCGUUAAAAAAGAUGGUCAUAAGUAUGCUACUUCAGACUUGAUCUUAAAGGAUAAAGAGCCAAUUAAAGUGUUGACAUUGGCUACUAAAGACAAUGAGAUGAGUCAAUCAAGUACCAAUUCUAAAGAGAAGAAGUUGAAAGUGUACAAGGUAAAACAAGAAUUGUCAUUACUUCAAAAAAAAUAGCCGGGACGCCUACUCGGUUUAUCAUAUUGGCAAAAGAAGAAAUUGCAAAAACUUAGUGCACAAGAACUUGAAAAGGGGAAUAUGUCAUGUGUUCCCAAAGGAAGUACUCAAAAUAAGAAUGAUGUGCAAGCUUCCGUUGCAAGAAGUGCGACAAAGGUGAAGAAGUAAAAGAGUGAAAACUAUGAACGACCAAGCCAAAGGUUUCAACAUCUUCGGUCCACACAUUAUCCAGAUUCUCCAACUAUGUCAUCGAUGUCGAUGCCAUGGAAUUCAUCCUCGAGUACGAUCCCAUGGGCUUAUUCCGGUCCAUAUGGAUGUAAUAUAAUUUCUUACAUCAUGAAAGGGUUUUACCACAUCAUCAUGCGUUCGAUUAGAUACAAGUUUGUUGCUAAUCCAAAGUGCCAAAAUACUUGCUUUUUCAUUUCAUUUGUUUAUUUAGGCUAUAUGUGCUUUGGUGGAUGAAGUACAUGGACCUUAUGGUAAUGGCUGAUAUUUAUAUAUCGACCUAAGAGUAUGUCAAAGCAUGGCCGGUGUAGUAUCCUAACAUCGUCCUUAUCAUCCAUCGUAAUGUCUCAACUCCAUGCAAGCAUAAUAUAGGUAUAUGUGUAAAUUUCCAUGCACACGGACAUUGCAUCGGUCUCCAAUCGAACUCAUCGGUCUCCAAUCGAACUAAGUUCAAUUGGAGACCGAUGCAAUGUCCGUGUGCAUGGAAAUUUACACAUAUACCUAUAUUAUGCUUGCAUGGAGUUGAGACAUUAUGAUGGAUGACAUUCAAAAUAUGUUGCAUAGACCAAUUCGUAGCGAAAUUGGUGGGUGGUCUUAUGCUUUGAUUUAAUAUGAUUUGGCCUACAAAUCUUUCAAAUCUAUGAGAGGCCAAAUCACUGUUGGCUUCAUUAUUGAGCAUCGGAUUUAUGACAAGCAUAAUGUUGCUAUUAGCCUUGUCUCUCUAGUACUAUGGAGACUAUGUCUUGAUGGUUGAAUUCAUAACAAUGGCCAACAUGUUGGUGUUGUUUAUAUAUCUUCUUAUGGUGCUAUUUUGUGAAUCCUAAUGCCACUUAAAAUAUUUUUUGCACAAUAAUCAAAGCCGGAUAUGCAAUGUUAUUUUGGAGCUUUUGUUUGCAUAGGUGCUACAAUAUUGAGGCUUUCGCUGAUUCAUUAUGAGUAGUGCAACAAAUAUCUAAGGGUUAUCAAUGUUUUGACGAAUCACUUAUAAUUUAUCUUGUGGUAUGUCCAGAUGUAAAAUUUAACUUGGGUAGAUUUAAUAUUGCUCAUAUAUCUAGACAUGACAAUUGGAGAGAAAAUGAUUUGGCACAAUAAGCAUCAGACUACCAUGUUGAUCAUGGUGUAUUGCAUAUCUAUCAAUAGCCUAUGCUUGUUCUCGCCAACAUAGGUAAGGCUGAACUGCAGCUCACCGCUUCGUACACUAAUGAGACUUUUAUGCAGGCAAAGCAUGGAUUGGAGGAAAUUAUUUUUUUAUUAUUUGCAAGAUCCCGUGGAAGGGUGGACAAGAUGGUUUGGCGUAUGUCUUUGAGAUGCAUAUAUAUGGAACUUUACCGACGGAUUAUCAAUGAAGUUGAGAAGGUUUCACCUAAGUUUGCAUCAAAAGGUUCAAACAAGCAAUGGAUGAUAUAUACUUACCGCCCCAAGAAUGUAUAAAUGGUCGAUGGAGUGUUGACAUCAUCCCUUGAGCAAACACGGUACAAGUUAUUUUUCGGCACGCUAGCUUUGACGAAAAACAGGGGGCAUGUCUUGACGCUCAAAAGUGGCACAAUAGUAAAAGUUGGAAAGCUAUGUCAAGAUUAAUUCAAACUUAUGAUUGGAAGUCACCAUCGGAUGGCUCUCUUCAAGCAGAUCAAGAUGGAUAUGAAGAUGGUCUAAAACAGAGCUCGGAUGCAAAAGUUAUGACAAGUUCAGAUAUGCUCGUCUUGGCACCAGAUUAAAGAAUGACAUGAAACCUAAUUAAGAUGGCCUCAAAUGAAAAAGAUUUCAACAUGAAAUUUGUUCAUCUCAUUGGAACGGACAACUUUGAUAUAUAAUUGUCUUAAUCCAAGAUCGUAUGCAAAAGUUAGAAGCGAAACUGCACGAUGUUGCAGUAGAUGGCCGGACCAUCCGGAGGCAAUCAUCUGGCUUCCUAAUUUAUCUGUUGCAGACUUCAGAAAAUAGUUAAAAAUCCCUCAAGAUGGCCUCCGAUCGAAAAAGGUUCAACAUGAAAGCUAUUUGUCUCAUUGAAAUGGUUAAAAUUGCUUUUGGGCUCAUUUCCAUCCGAGGUCAUUUACCGCCUCAAAAGUGACCCGCAAGGUGCAACCAGCUUUUAAACCAAACAGUUUUGAGAAGUUGGGAUUACGAGUUGGACCCAAACUUGGGUUUUGGAUGUGAAUCCAAACAUUUCCUUGCACGGGAAGUCUAGCCGCCUCUUAUAUACAUGAGGGGUGACGGCUGAUUGACACAACAACACUCAAUCGACAAAAUCAUCUACCACUUUAACCUUAACUUUUAUCUCUCUCCCUUGUAUCUUUCUUCUCGUUUUUCUUCGUUCUUUGAGAUUGAAGGACGGAGAAUCCACGAGGCCCUAGGGGCGAUCAGGUCAAUCUAGGGAAGCACAUAACCAUUGCGCGCCCUGACAGGGUCCUCCCAGGCAUGUGGCGUUUCGGGCCGCCGGAUUGCUUGUGUAUCGCGCUUCCCGUCGGGUCUCCUUCAACAAGAGUUGUGGUGCAUCACCCCGAUGUCAAGGGUACACAGUGACAUGUUCGUGUGCGAACAAGAACGACAAUGAGCGGCGGUUGAUAGGAGGAUGGGGCGGCAAGGCUGGCACAGGAGCGCCUGCAGCCGCAAUGACUAGCAGUCCAGUCGGUGGUCCGUGGAGGCAAUUGGGGAAUGUAACACCCCUAGUGUCAUGCUACAGUGACCUCACACUAAUGGUGCCAUGUCAUCGGGUUUAACUAAGCCAAAUUGCCACAUGAUAAAAAUCAAAACCAAUUUCAAAUUUAAAAUAAAUUCAAAUAAAUUAUUUCUUCAAACAGUAAAAAUAAAAUGUUCAAAAUAUUCUAUAAUUUCCCCUGAUCAUCGCCAUGUUGAACCCAACAUUAUUUGACUCACCAGUUUAUCCCUAGGAAAAUAUAAAGUGGUCCAAAAACAACAAAAAUAACCUUUUCAAAAUAAACAAAAGUUGAUGUAAUUUUCCAUUUGACUUGAAACAUUGUGGGCCUCUCCAAAAUAAUUACUAAUAAUUAUGUUACAAGUUUCAUAGUCAACUAAAUGUAUUUGGUGUAAAUUUUAAAUGUUAAGCAUUUGAGAAAAAGAAAAUAGAAAAGAAAGUUGCAGAAAUAAAAAAAAGUGGGGAAGCAAAUGACAAGGGGAGGCACAUGAGGCUGGAGGCCCAGCCCACCUCCCCCACACAUCCCCUACCUUGCUACAGUAGAGGCAAAGGGCGUGGAGGCCAUCGGCAUGGCCACCGGCCACGCGUCGGGCAUCCACGACCUCCCCCUCCUAUCCCUACAAGACACCCCCUCCUCUCUUCCGCUACAAACCCUAGUUCCCUCCAUCCCCCUCGUUCCCCUCACUCUCGCUGUCCUCGACGCCUCCGUCUUGACUGAACACAACCAUCACCGCGUCUUCGCCGAUGCCAUGGCCAAGGCCAUUCCCAAGCCACGCCGGCGUGUCCUGGAUGACCUCUGUCGUCCGCUACAUCCUCUACACCGUCGGAUUGGAGCCGGGAGCCCUCUUCCUCGUCACAUUCUCCAAUCCCCUUCGCCACGGCCCCCGUGCUUCGCCAAGAAUCGCGGUCACCCUCGACCUCCUCCAGCUCCCCUGAGCUCCUCUCUGACCUCGUGAUGAGCUCCAUUGCCAUCUACUCUCUCUGUUCCCAAAUAUUUGUCUUUCUAGGCAUUUCAAAUAGACACAACAUACGGAUAUAUGUAGACAUAUUUUAGAGUGUAGUUCACUCAUUUUGCUCCGUAUUUAGUCACUUGUUGAAAUCUCAAAUAUUUAGGAACGAAGGGAGUACUGGUUGCCCCCCCCCCUCUCCGUCGUAGCUGCCGUCCCCGAGCUCGACUUACCCACGCCCAUAGCCCUGCUCCCCGUGCGCACACUCGCGUCUGUCUGCGCCCACGCCCGCACUGCACUGCGCCCUCUACUUCGCGCGCGCGCACCUACUCGCCACUACGCUCCCUCGACCGCGCGCCCGCCCCUACUGCCCACAGCGCGCGCCCACGCCGCGCUCGCCUUCGCCUGCAACCGCCUGCUGCAGCUGCCUCCUUCUGCUGCAUGCUGCCACCUACAUCGCCCGAUCUCACCUGCCACGCCCCACCGUCGCCCGGGCCUGCGCCCGCUCGCGCUGCUCGUCCCACUCGCCGCGCCCGGCUCCCUGCCGUGGUCGUGGUCGCGUGCCCGUCCGCACUCCCGCACGUGGUGGCUGCCCCCUGCCCCACGCCCGCCUCCAGCCGUCGUCGCCGCGGCGCCACCUUCCGCCUCCCUAGUGCCCUGACCUGCUGCUCUUCGCCGCAGCCAUCGAGUGCCUGUGUGCACGCGGGCAUGCUUGCUAGCGAGGCCGGCUGGCCCUCUGCAUUUGGCGCCUAGCCCUUGUUUAGUUUAGGUUUAGUAUUAAUACUAAUUAGGCUAAUUAGCCGCUCACGUGUGGACCCUCCUGAUAAAUUAAACAUUGCUUAAUUAAACUAACACCACUGAUCAUGACAUGCAGGCCCCACCCGCACUGUUCACCGUCUGACUAGUCCAACCGCUGACCGUUGAGUCAACGGGACCCACACGUCAGCCUCCAGGUACACGGCUGGGUACCCCUAGCAAUUUAAGUUAUUUUCGAAAUAAAGAUAAAAUGCAGAAAGUCCAGAAAAUGUUUAAAAUUUUGAAAAAUCAUAUAAAUUAAACUUUAACUCGGAUGAAAAUAAUUUAUAUAUGAAAAAUAAAUAAAAAAAUAAGAUGAAUCCGAAUACACCAUUCAUCCACAUACCUGCCACAUGCCUCUAACACUGCAAACAUGGAACCUUCCCCUCAAGAUCAUCUGUCCGAUAAAUGCCCAAAGCUGGGAAAAUAUUCCCGGAUAUUUUCCCGCUCCGUGUGCAACACCUAGUACUGCAUUAGGUCACCCCUAGCACCGCAUCUUGCUAUGUCAUGCUUUGUGAUGCAUUUGUUUGCUUUAUAUUUACUAUUUCUUCCCCCUCUUCUCUCCGGUAGACCCCGAGACUGUUGUCGAUGCCCCUGUGAUCGACAACGUCGGCGAUGAACCUUCCUUCUCGGCAGAGCUUCCAGGCAAGCAAAAACCCCUUGAUCAUUCCUAUAUCGCCCAUUCUUUCUCUCUCAUGAUUACAUUAGAUUUUGCUAUUGUUGUUUGUCUGUUCCUAUUCUGAUGCAUAGCCUGCUUUUGUAACCUGCUAUUGUUACCUACCUGCUUAUCCUAUAUGUUUAGUAUAGGUUGGUUAGUGAUCCACCAGUGACCCCUCACCUUGUCCCUGUUGCCCCCGCUUUAUGAUCGAUGAUUCGAGCAACCUGAUCGAGGUGCAGAGACUAACACAACACCGCACACCCCCUUAGUUGUACGACUCUGCAGAGCUACUAUCGAGUGCCGAGGGUGAUACCUCGUAUCGCACUCCUGAUGAUACAUCUGUAGUGUAGCCAAUCUGUCGUGGACUUCCCAGGGUGAUUCCUCAUACUCAGUCCCGAUAACGACUCUGUCGUGCAACACCUCAAGUGUGAACCCUUCGAGGGUGAUUCCUCCAAGGUCACCUUGACGGUUACAUCGAGUGGGGCUCCAUCCAGGGUGAUUCCUUGGAUUUCCCCUUGAUGUUAUGGGCACACGGUUAUUUUGACUUUACCCAGGAACCAUGUUGAAGUCGGGUCGGCCCCGAGGGGUACCCGCGAGAGAAGUGUGAAGUCGGGUUGACCGUGAGGGUACCCGCGAGAGUUACUUUUUCUGCAAGACUGGAGGGACAGGCGGUAUUACCCCGGUAGAGGUGGACUGAGUUCCCGAUAGUCUCUUGUGAGUUGGGUUGACCUGGAGGGUACCCGCGAGAUAAUUACGCGGCAUGGCUGGGUAUUCUUAGCCCUUGCCUAAGUCCGUGAGAUGAGGCGACGGGACCACAGAUCGUGGAUCAAUGAUCGUCUCCGCGCGCUCCCAAGACACUAACGGGUUUGGAUAUGUGAUAUGAGUAGGCCUCAGGCCUUUUCGCACUAACCACCACGCGGGAAUAAGUAUGGGCACUCGGCUCCGUAAGAUUCUCCGAAAGCUCUUCGGACGUCAGCGAUUGAGCGGCACGCGCCCGGGUUAUCCGCGUAGGCACCUGCUUUGUAUAAAGAGGUAGCCAGGACUGAUCCCGGGCAUCCACGCAACGCGCAGGAGUGCAAAGGGCGAUGGGCCCAAAACCCCUGGGCGCUUAGAAUGUAGACCGGCGUGUUGGUCUCUCCGUUGAGCCUAGGUAGGACUACGGCGUGUUGAUCAGUCGAGGUCGGGCAUGACCCAGGAAAAGUGUGUCCGGCCAAAGCUAAUCGAGUGUGUUGGGUAAGUUGGUGCACCCCUGCAAGGAAGUUAAUCUAUUCGAAUAGUCGUGUCCAUGGUAACAGACGCUCGGAGUUGUAUCCCGAUCUAUACAACUAGAACUAGAUACUGGAGACAUGAAAUGGAUAUGAUGGCUCUGGAGUUGCUUCCUCGCAGGGAGUCGUGGAAGGAUCUCUGGGCGUUAAAAUAUAUAUAUAUAUAUAUAUAUAUAUAUAUAUAUAUAUAUAUAUAUAUACACACACUUAGUAUAGAUCGGGUGUAAGUCUUGCGAGUACUUUGAAUGAGUACUCACAGUUGCUUUGCUACCUCUUUUUCCUAUACCCGAUUGCUGUGACGGGUCCCAUGAGCCAGAUGACACUACCGACGACUACUACUACCCCGAGGGUGCCUACAACUACGUGGAGGCCUCCGACGACCAGAAAUAGUUAGGAGGCUCCUAGGCAGAAGGUCUUGCCUUUUCGAUCGUCGUUGUUGUUUGUACUAGUCUUCAAAGCAGACUUGUUUACCUACGACCAUAGUUAGGAGGCUCCCCGUUGCCUUUUCGAUCGUCGUUGUUGUUUGUACUAGUCUUUUUAAAGCAGACUUGUUUAUCUAUACUUGUACUCGGAUAUUGUUGCUUCCGGUGACUCGUUUGUAUUUGAGUUUAUGUAUUCAAGCCCUCAAGACGUCUGGGUUGUAAUAUAAAGUUUGUAUGACUUUAAUUUGUAUCUAGAAUAGUGUUGUGAUAACUUUUCAUAAGCGCAUUUACGUAUAUGAUUAGUGCACGAUUUAAGUCGCAGCGUCACAGGGAGGAAGGCGUUUGAAUAAAUUCAGAAGGUUUAAGAAAUGAUACGGCUGUUCAUUUUGCAUCGGACAGCUGGAAAGAACACGAAUUACCGAAUCUGACUUACACCUAGCCACAUCCUUUUAGAAAACACCGGCCCAAUUCAUACUUCCAAUUCCGUGAAACACAUUUAUAGCUCUUCAGUAAUAGUACUACUAGCAUGUUGAGGAAGUCCUAACAAAUCACAACCAGUUGCAACACAUUACAGUUAUGAGCUCUGCAUUUCUUUCCCUUGCAGGUCAAAAGGGCGUGCAUAUCCUUCAACUACAAGUAUUCCACAAGGCUAAACGGUCCUUGAUUGAAAACAACGUCAAGGCAAUUGAAAAGGGGUCCUCCUACUACUACAUCCUUUUUUGAUUCUCAUGCGCCUAAGGGCUUCAAGGAAAUCCAAACCUCCAUACAGGAUUACAAAACAACCAUCGAUCCUUCAAAUUUACAAGAGAUGAUACUAUAUUUCUAACUGGUCCUUGCUCGGAACAGAAUCAAGGUGAUUUCGAAUCAACCUUUGAUCCAUGAUGAUGUUCGGAAUCUGCAGAAGAAUAGCCGAUCGCUCAGUCCAGGACUCACCAAAUAUACAAAAGAAGAUGAUGUGUGCAACGAUUGGAGUACCUUUUCACCAAAGAAAAUCUUUGUGUUAUUGGCAAUUGAUUCAAUGAACCUCAGCUCAAGAUACUCAGGUGUAAGUUUUAGUUUGUUAGCCUCUGCUUCCUUCGUAAUCCU
rnacentral:lncRNA from 1 species